rnacentral:lncRNA from 1 species
UUUUUUUUUUUUUUUUUUUUAGCAGAUUCAACGAUCACAGAUCAUUUUCCCUUGAUAAGUGAUAACUAGUUCCAUAAUUUCUGUUGCCAAAACCAAGUUCACUUCUGGACACCCUUGCACUUGCGCACAUACAUGACAUCGAUAACCAGUAUAUCCUCAACGUAACAAGAAAUAUUUAUUUCAACAGCACAACAUCAUUAUCCAUCAAUGGAUCAAAAUUACUUUUAUGUUUAAGACAGAAGAUGCAGAAGGAGGGCGCAGAAUAAGGAACAAGGUUCAUAUUUUGGCAUCAGAAUUUGCAGGAGUGAACUUGAGUGAAAUGCUAUUGACACAAUGACGCUCGUCUGUUGGUGUCGGGAAUCCUUCACCCUUAAACACAUGACCAAGAUGCCCACCACAAGCAGCACAUGUAAUUUCUAUCCUCCUUCCAUCUGGGUCAGGAGUGCGAUUUAUUGCUCCAGGAAUGCCCUCAUAGAACGCUGGCCAUCCACAUCCAGAGUUAAAUUUAGUUGUGGACCUAUACAGGGGAGUUCCACAUCCUGCACAGUUGUAGACACCUUCACCAUAGAACUUGUCAUAUUCCCCUGUACCUGGAUACUCGGUCCCUUUUUGUCUGAGAAUGCGGAACUGUUCAGGAGAAAGAACUGCACGCCAUUCUUCCUCAGACUUCUGAACUGAUCCGGGUGCAGCAGUCAUGGCUACGACCCCACCUCUGAUGCCUCUCUUGCUCUGAUAGUGAACCGAUGCCAAGUGGUGAUUGCUAGUCAAGGGUGAAACUACAAUAAAAAAUAAAGUUAGUGAGAAAAGUGCAAAUGGCUAUGGGUUUUAGUGCUUAAAACAAAACAAAAAAAGGAUAAAAUUUUUCUUUUUGAGUUAUAAAGUGUCCUUCCAUGUGAUAGAACUCUCUAUUAAAAUUUGAAACGGUUAAGAAUUCACAAAAUUUUUUAAAUUUUAAUAGUAAGUUUAACUUAAAGAAAAAUAAAUUUUAUCAACCAGGAAAUUUACUGAAAUUGUAAAUUUCCUAUAUGACUAAAACUUACUGUUUUAGGGGAUGUACUUACCAAUUUUCUAAUAAACUUACCAACACUAAUAUUGAUUAUUUAAUACGAUAUUGGAAAAAAUGCUAAAAAACUAAGGGGGUGCUUGGUUGGAGGGUAUAGGAAUCAAGAAUUGGAUUGAGCCCCAAAAUUGUUGCUUGGCUAAUGGGUAUAGGUUUUGAAAUUUUGGAAUGAUUCAUGAAAAAUUAGUCACUCUCCAUACCCAAGUAGAUUGGAGGGUUUUGAUGAAUCCCACAUUUGAUUCCAAAAUCUUAAAAAAAAAAAUUAUUUUUGGGAUUUUUUUUAAAUAUAUACUGGCUCUGUUUCUAUAUAUUAAUAUUUAUUAUUUCAAUUUUGUUUUAUAAUAUGUAUAUUAAUAUAUAUUUAAUAUAUAUAUAAAUAUAUAUAUUUAUUUCAAUUGAUAUAAUAUAUCUAAUAUACAUAUUAAUAUUAAUAUAAUUUAUAUAUAUAAUAAAAUAUAAAUAUUAAUUGAAAUAUACAUAUUAUAAAACAAAAUUGAAAUAAAUAUAUUUAUAUAUUUAUAUAAAUAUAUUUUAAACAAAAAUAUUUAUAUAUAAAUAUAUAUUAUUUAUUUCAUUUGAUAUAAUAUAUAUAAUAUACAUAAUUGAAAUAUACAUAUUAAUAUUACUAUAAUUUAUAUAUAUAUAAUAUACAUAAUUGAAAUAUACAUAUUAAUAUAUAUUAAUAUACAUAUUAUAAAACAAAAUUGAAAUAAAUAUAUUUAUAAAUUUAUAUAAAUAUAUAAAUCAAUACUAUCAAAACUAUAAUAGGCUUGAAUACAUUAGAUGGUAAUCACGAAGUUAACCAGUCUCAUCUAAUCAGAUCUAAACUUGUAGAUCUACACUAUCAGUAGCAUAAAUAAGAAAGAUGGUAAUCACGAAGUUAAUAAACUAUUUUUCCUAAACAGAUUAUAAAGGAUAGUGUGAAAAUUUACAAGAAAAGAUCUUACCUUUUGAGAAGAAUUAACUAUACAUGACGACCAUAUUUCCAUCAUAUUAAAGAUAGUAAAAUAAACCUACGAGAAUAGAUCUAAAUCUUUUGAGAAAGAUUAACUAUGCAUGACGACCAUAUUUCCAAACAAAAUCAUAAGAUUGAUAGUAAAAACCCAUUUUCCCUGGAUCUGAUCUUGUGACACUUCCCCGUCCUAGAGCAUCACACCCUAAGAACCUCAACGCCCCUACAGAGCCAAAUCCCUCAUGGUCUUACCUGGACCGGACGUUGGCACUUACUGGAUCCAUGUCAUUCAAUCAGAUCCAAAGUUGUGAAAUCAAUACUAUCAAAACUAUAAUAGACUUGAAUACAUUAGAUGGUAAUCACGAAGUUAACCAGUCUCAUCUAAUCAGAUCUAAACUUGUAGAUCUACACUAUCAGUAGCAUAAAUAAGAAAGAUGAUAAUCACGAAGUUAAUAAAUUUCAUCAGGAAGAUUUAAUCUUGUAGAUCUACACUACCAACAUCAUAAUGGUAUACUAAAUAUAAAUAAAUUUAUAAAUAUAUAUAAAUAUAUUUUAAACAAAAAUAUUUAUAUAUAAAUAUAUAUUAUUUAUUUCAAUUGAUAUAAUAUAUAUAAUAUACAUAAUUGAAAUAUACAUAUUAAUAUUACUAUAAUUUAUAUAUAUAAUAUACAUAAUUGAAAUAUACAUAUUAAUAUAUAUUAAUAUACAUAUUAUAAAACAAAAUUGAAAUAAAUAUAUUUAUAAAUUUAUAUAAAUAUAUAUAAAUAAAUAUAUUUAUAUAAAUAUAUUUUAAACAGAAAAUUAAUAUUUAUAUAUGAAUAUAUAUAUAUGGUGGAUGAGUAUGUGGGAUAAGCAUUUGAACGAGGAAGAAGAAAGAUAUGAAAAGAAAAAAGAAAUUAAAGGUAAAAAAUUGAUUAUUAAAUUUUGAUACCCAUUCCUUACCAAUAUUUACCAAGCAACCCCAUUUGUAAUCAUACCUUUGUCCAAAACCCAUACUAAUUUUUUGUAAAUGUUUCCAAUUACAAUUCCGAUUCCUAAACAUGAACCAAGCGGCCCCUAAUCUUUUGCCAAAGUUAAUGGAAUCCGGCAGUAGUGGAUUACCCCAUUGUUGUUACUAUGACUUGCAAUACCGUAGCAUUGUCCUUUAAUAAGGACACGCUGGGAGAGGAAUGGGUUGGAUAGUAAGAAGGGGUGAAUGUAAGUAAGAGAAAUCUCCUAUUUAUAUUUAAGAAAAAAAGUUCACAGUAUAAUGCAAGCAGAAUAGUGAAGUUAAAAAUUUGCUAGAGCGGAGGAUGGGAUUUAAAAUCAUUAUGAAAAAUGUUAUCGAGUCCAUAAUAUUGUUAUUGAAAUCUUAUGAUACGUGUUGCAAGUAAACCAAAAGGGAUGCCAAGAAAAGGUUGUAUAACAUCCAAAUAAAGAAUGGAGUGUUUAUUAUUAGGUGGAAAUCACACUCCACUACUAAUCAAAACCAGGCCGAUGGUAACGACUUAAAAAAAAUUAAGUUUGAUUUGUAUUUUAAUCAAGAACUCUUUUUUUUGUUAGAAGGUCAAUUGUAAUCCAACUAAACUACUGUGGGAGGCUCCAGACCCACAGUGACACCUAUAAAAAAAGGAGGGUUAUUAUCACUUUACUCUCUUAACAUUCAGUGCCACUAUCAAUUUUUUCCUUAACGUUAUUUUAUAGUCAUUUUGCCUCCAAAACUAACGAUCAAAUUUAAUGGAGUAUAUUAAUUAAAGUAAAAAGACAUGUUUAGCCCUUAAAAUUAUUAUCACUUUAUCCCCUUAAACUAUAACCUCAUUAUCAAUUUACUCCAUAGAGUUUUUUUUAGACAAUUUAUCUCACCAUUAAAUUAACUUAGUAAGUUAAAGAGUUUUAGAAGAAAGUACCCUCCUUUUUGUAUAAUAAAAAUAAUAAAAAAUUUAGAGUGACUCUUCUCCUUUUUAGUAUCAAGAAAAAAAAGUCAAAGUGCUAAUCUCUUUCUUCUUGACAAUUUUAUUAAUAUUGAAAAAAUAGAAAGAUAGGGAGGGGAAUGGGAGAGAGAGAGAGAGAGAGUUCAAUUCUUUUUUUUAAAAUACAAAUAAGAAAGAAUUAAAUACUUUUAUUAUAUAAAAAUUAAUUCACUUUUCUGUUUACGACCAAAUUCCAAUCCUAAUUCCGACAACCUUAAAGUAAUAUGAUAAUGCUAGACUCUUCUUUAUUUUCUUUCUUUGCAAAAUCUGAUAUUCUGUCUCCUUCUUUCCUAUCUUCUUUUCUUUUCCAAAUAUUAAUAAGUGUGAAAAAAUUUUUGAGAAAACCAUUUUAUUUUUAUGUUUUUGGAUCUCUUAAAGUAAAAAAAAACGGAAGAAUAACCUUUUCAAUUUUUUUUUAAUUAUAUACAAAAAAGAGUAAAUAUAUUAAAAUUUUUUUGACCAUACUAGUUAGAGUAACGAUGAGAUAAAAUGCCUAGAAAAUAAUGUUAGGAAUUAAAACGACUGUAUCACUAUAAUUUUAAGGGAUAAAGUGAUAAUAAUAAUAAUGUGAUAAUGCUAUAAAAUAACGGAAUAUUUUUGUCUAAAAUUUCUUAAUAUGUUGGAUUGAAUUACUUAUAGGGUGAAAUGACUAAAAGAUAAUGUUAAGGGUUAAAUUGAUAGUAGUAAUAUAGUUUAAAGGGAUAAAGCGAUAAUAAUCCAAAAAAAAUUAAGCUUGAUAUGUAUUUUAAUCAAGAUUUUUGUUGGUAUUUUAAUGCAACUAAACUACUAGGGGAGGCACCUAUUAAAUCUACUAAUGGAGAUUUGAUUGAGGCCACUGGCCAUUUGGUCCAGUGGUCAUCACCAUAAUGGUGAUGCUGGAGGUCAGGGGAUCAACCCCUGCCUCCCACAAUUUGACCACAAUAUGUGGCUGGUCUUAGUUGACCAUCCCUUUGCCCCUUCCCCUAGACUAGGCUAGAGUAGGUUAUACAACAUCUAUCGUUGCGAUAAAAAAAAAAGGAUUUGAUUGAGGGAUCUGCUUCAGAAAUUUAUACUCAUCACCGUACCCAAGUACGGCCACGUGCUCGCAAUUCUUGGAGUUGGUAUUUUAAGGAUGAUGUUUUUACCCGAUCUUCAACAUCGCCAAAAACUUCUAACCAUAACUAGUAAAAUGCUUUCAUAUCAAUUACGAGAUUAGUUAUCAAUUGGGAUCAAUACGUUGGUUCCUUUACAAUGCCAAUCCCAUGUUUAUUAUUUUGACAUUCAAUUAAUGUCUCACUCAAUAGAUAAGUGAAGCAUAUGAUCUACACAUGCUUAUAUAGUUCAUUAGAAGAUGCCGUUAGAAUAAAGAAACUCAAGAUCCAAUCUCAAGUGCCAAGCAAGACCUUGAAAGUACUUUGGAGGUAUUUGAAUAUCAAGAACUGAAAUAAAAGAAAUGAAGCUUCGUCAUGUGGGAUAUCCAGAGAUUCAAAGUACAUAGUACAAAUCACGCCAACCUAUGAAGACUUCAGUACCCUUUGGAAAUGGAAUUGCAGACUUUAUCACUCAUCUCAACGGCUAGAUUAAUGUCCAAGAUGGGCCUAAUAUUUGUUUUUUGUUUUGGGAACGAGAAAUUGAGACAAUCCGACACACUCAAGCCUGGUUGUAUGGCAUGAUAUUGAUAACAUGUCCCUCUUAUCUAUUCUUAGACCUUCUAACUUAAGUUUUAAAUAUAUGUAUACAUUCUCAUUUGCUUUUAUCCUGCGUCACAUUGGCAGUUUCACUGCUAAAAAUGGCUUCCAUUCUCUCCCUCUGCAUUUUAUUCAUAAUGUGUAUUUACCAAAGCCUUUCUUUCGCGGCUGUUGCGCCAUUUCUUGAUGGUAUGCUUUAAAUAGUCUUUAAUUUUUUUCAUAUAAAAUUGCUAAAUUAACUUUUCUUAGGUACGAGCUAACCCUGGUACAAUUUUUUUUUUUUUUUUUUGGGUUUAUGCCAAAUAAAGUCACUUUACCAUAUCAUUUUUAUGUCAGCACUCAGCACAUGACGGAGCGAAUAUCAAAUCUUACCUAUUAAUUUCACUUGACAUGCAAACAUGAUCCACGUAAAUUGUAGAAAAAUCAAAUGCGCAGCGUUAAUUUUCUCUAACAUGUUCAACAUCAAGAGCAACACGAACCCGUUUGAAUUUUUGAUUUUGAAUCUAAUGGUGUUUGACUUGUCUUUUCGAUACUUGGAAAAGGUUUUUCGCUCUGGACUUCUUUUUAAUCAUUGAUAUGAACUGACCUUCUAUGUACUCUUCCUCUUUAUUAUUAUUUUUUCUGAAAAAUUCGAACAAUGGCAGGAUACAAGAACAAGGAGAAAAAUUUACUCAUAACUGGCAGUAGUAGUAUGUUUUUCUAACCAUAUUCCUGUUUACAUUUUGCAGGUCUACUAGAAAAUGGUAACUUUGAGGAAGGGCCAAAGGUAUCAAACCUUAAGAAAAGACAGAUCAUAGGAAAAUACUCCUUGCCCAAAUGGGAAAUUCAUGGCAUAGUUGAAUAUGUUUCAAGUGGACCGCAACCUGGUGGUUUUUACUUCGCAAUCCCUCGUGGGGCUCAGGCAGCGAGGCUUGGAAAUGAGGCUUCCAUAUCUCAAUAUGUUAAGGUGAAACCUGGAGCAAUGUACUCAUUGACCUUUGCAGUCACCAGGACUUGUGCCCAAGAUGAGAAGCUAAGGGUUUCUGUCCCUGGUUUUUCGACUGAACUCCCAAUUCAAACACUGUUUAGCAGCGAUGGUGGUGAUACUUAUGCAUGGGCUGUUAAGGCAACUUCUGAUGUUUUCAAGGUUACAUUUCAUAAUCCUGGAAUUCAAGAGGAUCCUACCGGUGGACCUCUUCUGGAUGCAAUUGCAAUCAAGGAGAUACUUCCUCUCAGAUACACUAAGGGUAAGUCCUCUUCCAAAUUUGGAAUUUUUUUCCAAUAUCAUAUGCCUCCCAGAUCUUUAAGCAGAUUUGUGAAAGCUCGAUAUUGGCCAGUACAAGAAAAAUGUUAAUGGCACACACUUAUCUGUUAAUGAUACUCCUCUUGACUUUUCUAAUGGCAGUUGUAAAUUCAAAGAAAAACAUGGCAAUUUUUAUCUGAUUCACAUGGCAAAAGGUUGAAAAAAAAAAGGGUGCCGUUCACAGAGAAAGGAGUGCCAUUAACAUUUAUCCCAAAAUAAUUGUCUGAAUUGUUGGGCAAUCGUCGUAAGUUGAUCACAACCCAACUGCCUUUUUGUUCCUUUUAUUAUUGACUGUCGAUAUUCGUUCACGAAGACACUAUCUUUAAAAUAUAAAUUUGUAGUUUCUUCUAAAUAUAUAGUAAAUGUUAACCAAUGCAAUGUAUAUUUUAUAAUUCAUAGAAAGCUCCUAAUUUGCACUGAAGCUAUGCAGGUAACUUGGUCAAAAAUGGUGAUUUUGAAACCGGCCCUCAUGUGUUCAAGAAUUUCUCAACUGGGGUGCUGCUCCUCCCUAAGAGGACGGACAUCUACUCAUCGCUCCCUGGAUGGAUUGUUGAAUCCCUCAAACCAGUUAAGUAUGUUGACUCGAAGCAUUUCUCCGUUCCCCAGGGACUUGCAGCUAUUGAAUUGGUUGGAGGAAUAGAAACAGCUAUUGCACAAAUCAUAAGAACAGUACCUAACAAGUUCUACUUUCUUUCCUUCGCUUUUGGGGAUGCUAGGAAUGGUUGUCAUGGAUCAAUGACGAUUGAAGCUUUUGCAGCUAGGAAAACCAUAAAAGUUUCAUUUACAUCAACUGGAAUUGGUGGAUCCAAGACUGCCAUCCUCAAGUUUCAAGCACUUUCAAACAGAACAAGAAUAACCUUUUAUAGCCCAAAUUAUCACACAAAGCUUCAUGACUAUGGUCACAUAUGUGGUCCUGUUUUGGAUGAUGUUAUAGUGUUUCCUCUCAAAUAGUCACUGUUUGGGUGAAGAUCAAACAGAGUGAUCAAAAAGCAACAUAGUUUUGGAAGCUUUUUCUUUUCUUUUCUUUUCUUUUUUGUUAGUUCAUGAACAAGACAACCCAAACCCAUAAACAUCGAUCCACGGUAUGAGGGAGGGGAAGCGGGCGCAUGAGAUAUAAAUUGUGUAAUUUAUAUCUCUAUACUAUUAAAAAAAAUCUUUCUAGUUUCUAAAGUUUAGGCUUCAAAUAUUGCAUAGGAUCAAUUUAAGCCAUUCAUUUUAUUUGUUUUUUGUUUUUUGUUUUUUGUUGUUAUGUCAUUGGUGUGUAAUGUUGAAAGCUAUAACCUUGGAUUUAAGCAUUUUUUUUUUUUGGCUAACAUUGCAUUUUUUUUUAAUAUCUUGACAUUACUACAAGUCUAUAACCUUGGAUUUAAGAAGUGUUUUUUUGGCUAACAUUGCAAUUUUUAAAUAUCUUGACAUCUAUCAUUGCUGCACUGUUAUUAGGAUUAUAUAAGAGAUAAUUUCAAAAACCUCCCUUGAGGUUUUUUCUAAUCACACCUAACACCCCUCAAGUCUCUAAAAUCACACUUAACACCCUUAGAAUGACAACCUUUGUAACAUAAUAGCCCUUUUAUGUAAAAAUAUAUUAAAAAAUAUGUUUAGUAGAGGGACUAUAGUAUUCUUCCAAUUUUGCCCUUUUGUUAGUUGAUUUUUAAAUUUUAGAAGAUUAAAAUAAAAACAAAUAGAACUACAAUAUUUACAUAGAAAUUGAAGGAGUGUAAGUACAAUAACUGCUGAAUUGUAUCAUUUUUGUUGAUUCAUAUGACCAUUAUAAGAUCUGUGCCAAAGUUUUUGAUAGAAAGGAAAAAAAAAUUUUGAAUACUGUUUGUUAACCAGUUUUUUCAAAAAUUUUGUUUUUGAUAAUUGAAAACCAUUAUAGGUAUAUUUAAUAUGCAUUUUUUCCAUGAUUUCAAUUGCAUCCCAGCAUUUUUUUCACCAAAUGAAUGAUUUUAACAUAUUUUUCCCUCACCUCUUACUGAUUAAACUACAUAACAAGAUAAAAUCGUAGUUAAAAAAAGAUAGAUUUUCUAUGUUUAGAUUAUCUAAGUACCUCAAAACCUAUCUUCUGUUGCAUAUGCAAAAAAAAUAGAGCCCAAAUUUUAUGGCAUUUUUGUUACUUUAUUUUUACAUAAUCGAACAUAAAUGUUUUUUCCUUUUUCUUGCCUUUUCUUGCAUAAGAAAUAUGAAAAGGCAAAAAGGAAUCAACUUGUUUUUAUUUUCAUCUUCUAGUUUUCAAAAAUCAACUUGCAAAAGGGCGAAUGUGGAAGAAUAUUAUAGUCUCUCUCUUAAAUACAUUUUUAAUACUAUUUUUACCUAAACGGGUUGAUAUGCUACAAAAGUUGUCAUUCUAAGGGUGCUAAGUGUGAUUUCAAAAACUUUAGGGGUGCUAGGUGUGAUUAGGAAAAACCUCAAGGAAGGUUUCUGAAAUUAUCCCGUUAUAUAAUUUGAGCUAUGAUUUGAUGUGUCUGUUAUUAGGAUUAUAUAAUCUGAAAUAUGAUUUGAUGUAUUCAUGUGUGUAUGUAUGUGUGUUUUUAAACGAUUUAUUCGUUGGAUCCUGAUUUUGAAAACUUGAAUUUAGUAUUUGGGUUGCUAGUCAUUUUCUUUUUUCAUUGGAAGGGAGAACAUACUAAAUUAAUGUAACCACCAAACCAUCAAUCGAUAAUCCAUUCAGUCUAUCCGUCAUAGAGUUUUGUUUUAAAAGCGCAAUCUGUCCUGAUGACCUACCAAUUCUUUUGACCGCUCAUGGUUAUGAAAAAAAUUUUAACUAAUUACAAAUUAUUUAUUUUUAACUAAAGACUAGCAUAUGUGAAAAUAAUUUAUAAGUAAGUUGUUUUGAAGGCUUGUAAUUAAUAUAGCUAACCAUAGGAUGUGGAAGUGUUCAUGUUUGAAAGGAAGAAGAAAAAUCGCAAAUAUACACUACACAUAGACCAUAAGGAAAAAACUCAACAUAUACAUAAGUGAAAAUUAAGUAAGUAAAGAAACAAGCAUGGAUUGUUGCCCAUAUCAAUCAAGACGAAAUUAGUAAUUAAAACCUGCUAAAAUCCUUGUCCUUGUUUAUACAUUGCAUACAACAACACCACUACUGUAAUCAAAAUAUGUAUGAUACUUCUACUUAUUGCCUGAAUUCUCACCAUCAAUUUUGAGAGAGGUCAUAUUGACACAUAACCACCAGCACAACCAUUUUGCCAUGCUAAGUUGGACAAAUCAGUACCACCAAUAGCAUACUUCCAAACAUCCUCCAUAUUGAAAUCAGAGGGGAUCAUGGUACCCCCUGAUAAAUGGACCGGUUCCAUACUCAAAUUAGAGGGCAUCAUGGUACCCUUUGAUAAAUGGAACGGUUCAGUGAACUCUUGAGUACUUUGAGUAAUUGCUUCGAGCCCACCAUGAGAAUUAGUGUAUCCUUGGAAAUCUUGAAAUAGAUCAUGAGGAAAUUGGAAACUAGAAAGAUCAUAGAUAACCUGGUUUGAAUUGGCAUCACCUCCUGUGUCUAGAGCGCUGGUAAUAUACUCCAUACAUUGAUCGUUUGUAGAACCAGCAGCCAAAUCAUUGUCCUCAUUCUGCAUGGGAGCUUCAUUCACUGUAAGACACUGGUCAAGAUUUUCCCUCAUCAAUUCUUCCGUGUCACCUUCAUUUUCAUCUUUGUUUUUGCGUUUUAUGUUCAUAUACAAUCUACACAAAACUGGAUCCGACUGUCAAAAAUGAACAACAUGUUAGUAAUGUAUAAUGGAGUUUGGAAAUAAAAAAAGCCAUGCAAAUGGACAGCCUAUAUUAUUUGAGAAGUGGUUACUGAGCACUUAGUAGAAUAUUGUUGUAAAGACUUGUAGAUUAAGAAGUGGACACCACUACUCUUUUACAUAAUAGUGUAUGUAUGUACUAUACUGACAGAAAUCAAGAAGUAAAUUGUUCUUGACUUGGUGGGUAGAGCUCGGUUGUCAAAGAGUUUUAAUCACCACUUCCCGAAAAUUAUCAAAAAAAAAAAAAAAAACCCUAACUUGUUUCCUACUGAAAACUUAUUCUUAUGCUGUAUAUGAAGAUUUCUACCUUCUAAUGAUUAUAUCUGUUGGACUCAAGCAUGAAAACUGGGAGCGCAGGGAGAGGAAAUCUCCUCCCAAGUUCUAUAUAUUCAUAUUUUUUUUGAAAAUUUUUCUAUGUUGGUUCUGAAAUUUACAUGUGCAUGCAUGUUACAUCUUCAAAUCCAUCGUUGGUUGGGCAACAUAUAUGUCUAGCUACCUAGGCGCACUAUGUGUAUAAACAUCCAAAAUGUGCCUAUAUAUCCAAACUAAGACAUGCAUAGAUAACACAUAAAAGACAUUAAAAUGUUUCAUGAAAUAAUCAGAUGAGAAGGAGAAGAGAAGAAGUGAGAAUAAGCAUAGCAUGAAUUGUUAUUCUUAUUACUGUCCAUUGAAAAGAUUAUAAGAAUACCUUGAAGUAUAUAAAUAAUAUAUAAAGCAAGUUAAUCAGAAAAUAAGUACUGGCUUGUACCUUGGGGUUAUUUGCAUGAAUUCUAUAUUCAUGCAUCUUCCAAGCCGUUUUUUGACCAGGCCCAAGUAAGAAAUCUAGUGACUUCCGGUAGCCGACGGUAUUGCCAUUGUAAUAAAUCUUCUUGUCUUUGCCGGUGGGUUUCCAAAAUCCACCAUCUCCACAUGAUCGAGAGGGACGGCUGCCUUUGGGGUAUUUGUUCGUCAAAUAGGUGAAGAAGUACCAUCCGUUCACGUUAUGAAAGCUAUCCGAUUUGUAUCUAUCUGCGCAUAUAUAAUCAAAAAAGAAAUAAGCAAAUAUAUAGCAUAGUCAUGCAAUAUUACAACAAAAUAAAGAAAAAGGGGAUCAUAAUUUAUUUAUCAAGGCUGCUUUUAUUCAAAUUUUGUUAGGGACAAAUACCCAUUUUUCAGACAGACAAGAAUGUUAGUUAUUAAAUUAGACACAUAGCCCAAACCCUAAACUAAUCACUUUUACGUACGUGCAUCAAUGAGAAACCCUCUAACCCCAAAUCUCAUCUCUAUGACGAUGGUGUUUUCGUGAUCUAAGGUGGUGGGUAGUAUUUUAGGGUAUCUUUUUGGUCCACCAACUAUUUUUCGUGGAACACAAUUCACAAUAAAAUCCACAAUCGGAAGAAACCAAUCAAAAAACUUGAAAUCAUGAAGCCUAAAGAUGGUUUAAAUUUCAAAGAUUUUGCCUAAUUAAUUGGGGAUUAUGGAAUUAAAAGGGGUUCAAUUAUGCUCUAUCGUUAAACAGCAAACACUUGUACAUAGCAUAUUGUUAUAAGAACAUCAGACUAUGUCAAAUACUUUCCUUCGCAUGGAGUAAAGUUCCCGAAAGGGUUUUCAGAACAUAUUUAUCGAGAAAACGCCUAAAAGAUGUUUUCCGAGUUCUUUAUCCGAAAACUAGAAAAACAGCUGUUAGAAUAACAUAAAGUUUUUUCAAUUGUAUAGAUACUAACUUGUAAGUUCUUGAGGAUUGUGGCCGUAGACAUUGGCUUCAUGAAUUCUGUUAAGUGGUAAUGGAGCCUUGGCGAUCCUUUUCCUCAAGUAGUGUACAAUUAGCUCUUCAUCAGUGGGGCAAAACCUGUAACCGCGUGGCAUAGAAUCCAGAAAAUUCUGUGAAUUUUCGUGGAGAAUUAUGCCUUGCUGAACCGGUUGCUGCUGAUCAUCGAGGAGAUACGGCUGGUGUUGAUGUUGCAGUGGCUGCUGCUGUUGGCCCUGCAAGGGCGGCCAGUGGUGGUGGAGGAGGUGAUCAUGGAGGAGGUAUGGCUGCUCCUCCCUCUGCUGGUGGUGAUUGUCCAUGCUUGUUGAAUGUUGAAGAGGCUUCUUUCGCCGGAGGCGCAGUUACCUAAAAUAAGCGCCAAAUGAGGUAUAUAUAUAUUUUUGUCGUUGGGGUGCCAACCUGGCACUAAAUGUCCGGUACAUCCGUACAAGUGGGGUCGGGUAUAGACUCCAGUUGCAGUACAAUUCUACUUCUUCUUCUACUUCUCCCCGAAUUAUACUCAAUUAUUUUGAAAUUUUGGAUAACAAUAAGAACAUUCUUCCAUGCCGCCUGUCUAUAUAUCAUAAUUUUUAUAAUUUAAUACCUAAGGUAAUAAAGUUUUAAUAAAUUUAUAAUCUAAGACAAAAGAAUAAGAGUUAAAGUUGUCUUAAUGUAGCAUAAUCUUUGAAAAUUAUAGUAAUUUAAUCCAUAUUUGUCGUUCCAUAACUUUUAAAUAUUGUUAGUCCACAUAUAGAUUUAUGAAUUAAUCUUCUAUAUAUUGGCACUUUCGCUAUUGGAUGCGUGAUACACAAUCUGAAUUUAAAUUAAUCCAAAUUUUAUAUAUGUGUCAUGUAUCUAAUCGUGAUAUUGUACACAUUGUUAGUGUAUAUAAGAAUAACUCUAGAUUUAUACAUAUUUUUUUUUCUAACUUAUGGUAUAGGUCCAUACCCGUGUUAUAUCCAUCCCAUAUUUUACUAACUAUGCUUAUCACUUUAUUGUUGAAACUUAACAUCGCACUUGUGAAGCUUACCCAUAAUAUUCAUGAAAAUAAAUUUAAGUUUUUUAUGGACAAAUAGUAUGUAAAUGGCUAAAACUAUAAUUUUAUAAUAAUCUUAAAUUUACAUACCAUAAUCGAGUGUAUAUUGCUUCUUGUUUUGAAAUUUGCACUAACUUCACUAUUCCUAUUAUUGUUAUUGGUAAAAAUGCUUCGAUUUAAAACACAAUAAAAUCAAAUUUUGUGGCCUUUCUAAUAUAGUGGUUAUUUUUACUCGAAAAUUAGUAAAUCUUGCUUACAUUACACAGAUUGUAUGCUUUUUCACCAAUAUAAUCAAAAGAACUUUAUACCUUGACAAAACAAAUAGAAAAAAUGACAACACCAUGAGUAUAAUGGUGAGCAACUGCCAUACAUGUCACAUUAUGAGUUUAGGCAUGAUUUGUAUAAAUAAUAACUAAUCUAAUAAUUGGUUGACAUGCGAUGCAUAUGACAGGUUAGGGGAUUUCAAUUGCAACAUGAAAAUGAAAAUGUGAUUCUUUUUAAAGAAUAUCAAUAGUGGUUGACGGUAAUUUUACAUACAUGCAAGUUAAAAAACCGAAUUACACCCGUUCACUGCAAGUAUACAGAUCAACUAGUAGUUUAGGGUAUAUAUCGGGUCUGACGGGUAUUUUACAUACGUGCAAGCUAAAAAAUACCGAAUUACACCCGUUCACUGCAAGUAUACAGAUCAACUAGUAGUUUAGGGUAUAUAUCGGGUCGAUCCCACAAGGAAGAGUGAACAAUUACCGGUAUUACUAAAGCUUCUCUAUUAUUUAGACUAUCAAUAAAUUAUAACAAAUUUAACCUACUGAAAUUAUACAAAAUGACAAAUGAAAGCUCCUUAGGUUGUGGUAUCCCUAACUACUCAUGCAAGUGCUAUAUUUGGAUCAGUAAUUACUACAUCUAGGCUAGUUAUGGUGUAAUUUCCUUAAACAUGUGAAACCUACUUUCGUAGUGAAUCAACUAUACUCAUAACUAAUCCAUACCUAUUUUCAUGGUUAUGAAAUUAGCUACAAGUUCAUUUCUUCAAUGAAAUUACAUGAAAUGAAUCACUAAAAACCACAUAAGUGCACCUCUACUUUCGUGAGUGUACUCCCUAUGUUUAGCACCUCUUGAACUAGUGUUAAAUCUCAAUUUUCAUUGCAGAAACAACACCUUAGAUAACCACAAUCAAUGGUACCAGAUUAAUCAUGAUUUAAAGAGCUAAAGUGCUAAAUAACUUGCUUAAAUAAUAGCAGUCAAAUAACCAAAUAAUAAACACUAACAAUUAUAGAAAGUUCAACCAAACCCAAGGCUUAAACUUUAGAUACACAUAAUGAACACAAAAUCCAGAACUUGUAUAUUAACUAAACUUGGAAUCAAAUACAAAAGAUAAAGAGUUUGGAAGGAAUACAACCCUUGUCACAUGAGCUUUCUUCCUUGCCUUCUUCAUCCUCCAUCUUCAUCCUAAUCUAGAUAAUAAACAAGAAUGGAAAAGCUACACUACUCUAUACUAAGCUAAACUAACACUAGGAAGAUGAAAGAGCUACAUUUCUGCAGCUUCAAGCUUUCUCCCGUAGCUCACUCUAUAUUUUUCUGCUAUGGACUCCAAUCUCUGCUAUCUACUCCAAUCUCUUCCUAUCUUUGCAAUCAAUUUGGCUAUUUUAUGAUGAAAGGUGGUCAAGAAAAUGAGGCCUACACCACCCUUUUACAGCUGGAAAUGUUUCUCACAUGUGUAGCAUCACAUGUGAGUUGGUGGAGGUGAAAUUGAGUUUUCCGCGUAAAAAGCAGCCUUCUCUGACCACAAUCCGGCCAGGAAUCCGGCCACAAAUCCGGCCAAAUUCAGGCCGGAUUGCUACAGUAAAUCUGGGCUGCUACAGUGAUCCGAGCUGCUACAGUACCUCGGAUCCACUAACCCAGAAACAGCCGAGGGUUCGGAUGAAUAGUGGAUCCGAGUGUGGAUCACUUGCUCUGUUUUUUGCCCAACUUCAACCGAUCUUUUCUUGAUGUUAGAGGCUGAAACAGCUCAUGUCUAAAACACGAAAGUUGUAGCCUUAUGCGUUAUUAUUCCAAUGCAUCAAGAAUCACCUCAUUUGGAUCUGUGUAGGCUGAGAUAUGAUGGAAAUACCCUUGCCUGCUCCAUGCCUUGUUCCAGCUUCGACCAUUAGAAAUUUGCUAUUGUAAUUCAGCUUUUUGACUUUGAAAACCUUCAAACUGGAUUCAGAUGUCUUCACCAAAGUUGUAGAUCUAUCUCCUAUCUUCAAAUUGGUUCAAGAACCAUCUCAAUCCGAUCGCUGUAACUCAAGUUAUAGCCGAAAUACGAAAAUGUGUCAAAACUGUCAAAAAUACACAAAAUCCCACUAAAAAGUGAUAAAAACCUCAUUUAAUCACUUAAAAGCAUUUUUCACCAAUCAUAGCCAAAAUGAUUCAUUUUCUUUCGAUAAUAUAACCAAAGUGACUAAAAAUAAUAUAAAAUAUCAUACAAUUAUUACGUAAAUUAGUCACUUAUCAGGGUCGAUCCCACAGGGAAGAGUGAACAAUUACCGGUAUUACUAAAGCUUCUCUAUUAUUUAGACUAUCAAUAAAUUAUAACAAAUUAAAACCUAUUGAAAUUAUACAAGAAAAUAGCAAAUGAAAGCUCCUUAGGUUGUGGUAUCCCUAACUACUCAUGCAAGUGCUAUAUUUGGAUCAUUGAAUACUACAUCUAGGCUAAUUAUGGUGUAAUUUCCUUAUGCAUGUGAAACCUACUUUCGUAGUGAAUCAACUAUACUCAUAACCAAUCCAUACCUAUUUUCAUGGUUAUGAAAUUAGUUACAAGUUCAUUUCUUCAAUGAAAUUACAUGAUAUGAAUCACUAAAAACCACAUAAGUGCACCUCUACUUUCGUGAGUGUACUCCCUAUGUUUAGCACUUCUUGAACUAGUGUUAAAUCUCAAUUUUCAUUGCAGAAACAACACCUUAGAUAAUCACAAUUAAUGGUACCAGAUUAAUCAUGAUUUAAAGAGCCAAAGUGCUAAAUAACUUGCUCAAAUCAUAGCAAUCAAAUAACCAAAUAAUAAACACUAACAAUUAUAGAAAGUUCAACCAAACCCAAGGUAUAAACUUUAAAAACACAUAUUACACACAAAAUCCAGAACUUGUAUAUUAACUAAACUUGGAAUCAAAUACAAAAGAUAAAGAGUUUGAAAGGAAUACAACCCUUGUUGAUAAGUGACUAAUUUACGUAAUAAUUGUAUGAUAUUUUAUAUUAUUUUUAGUCACUUUUGUUAUAUUAUUGAAAUAAAAUGAAUUAUUUUGGCUAUAAUUGGUGAAUAAAUGUUUUUAAGUAAUUAAAUGAGGUUUUUAUCACUUUUUACUUGGAUUUUGUGUAUUUUGACAGUUUUGACACAUUUUCGUAUUUCGGCUAUAACUUGAGCUACAGGGAUCGGAUUAAGAUGAUUCUUGAACCAAUUUGAAGAUAAGAGAUAGAUCUACAACUUUGAUGAAGACAUCUAAAUCCAGUUUGAAGAUUUUCCAGGUCAAAGUGCUGAAUUACAAUAGCAAAUUUCUACUGGUCGAAACUGAAACAGGGCAAUGAGCAGUCAAGGGUAUUUCAGUCAUAUCUCAGCCUACACAGAUCCAAAUGAGGUGAUUCUUGAUGCAUUGGAAAGAUAACUCAAAAGGCUACAACUUUCAUGUUUUAGACAUGAGCUGGUUCAGCCUCUAACAUCAAGAAAAGAUCGGUUGAAAUUGAGCCAAAAACAGAGCAAGUGAUCCACACUCGGAUCCACUAUUCAUCCGAACCCUCGGAUGUUUCUGGGUAAGUGGAUCCGAGGCACUGUAGCAGCUCGGAUCACUGGUCAGAAAAGGCUGCUUUAUACGCGUAAAACUCAAUUUCACCUCCACCAACUCACAUGGGAUGCUAGACAUGUGAGAAACAUUCCCAGCUGUAAAAGGGAGAUGUAAUCCUCAUUUCUUGACCACUUUUCAUCAUUAAAUAGCCAAAUUCAUUGCAACAAGAGGGAGAUGGGAGUAGAGAGAGCAGAGAUUGGAGUUCAUAGCAGAAAAAUAGAGUGAGCUACGGGAGAAAGCUUGAAGCUGCAGAAAUGUAGCUCUUUCAUCUUCCUAGUAUUAGUUUAGCUUAGUAUAGAGUAGUGUAGCUUUUCCAUUCUUGUUUAUUAUCUAGAUUAGGAUGAAGAUGGAGGAUGAAGAAGGCAAGGAAGAAAGCUCAUGUGACAAGGGUUGUAUUUCUUCCAAACUCUUUAUCUUUUGUAUUUGAUUCCAAGUUUAGUUAAUAUACAAGUUCUGGAUUUUGUGUUCAUUAUGUGUAUCUAAAGUUUAAGCCUUGGGUUUGGUUGAACUUUCUAUAAUUGUUAGUGUUUAUUAUUUGGUUAUUUGACUGCUAUGAUUUAAGCAAGUUAUUUAGCACUUUGGCUUCUUAAAUCAUGAUUAAUCUGGUACCAUUGAUUGUGAUUAUCUAAGGUGUUGUUUCUGCAAUGAAAAUUGAGAUUUAACACUAGUUCAAGAAGUGCUAAACAUAGGGAGUACACUCACGAAAGUAGAGGUGCACUUAUGUGGUUUUUAGUGAUUCAUUUCAUGUAAUUUCAUUGAAGAAAUGAACUUGUAGCUAAUUUCAUAACCAUGAGAAUAGGUAUGGAUUAGUUAUAAGUAUAAUUGAUUCACUACGAAAGUAGGAUUCAAAUGCAUAAGGAAAUUACACCAUAACUAGCCUAGAUGUAGUAAUUAAUGAUCCAAAUAUAGCACUUGCAUGAGUAGUUAGGGAUACCACAACCUAAGGAGCUUUCAUUUGCUAUUUUCUUGCAUAAUUUCAGUAGGUUAAAUUUGUUAUAAUUCAUUGAUAGUCUAAAUAAUAGAGAAGCUUUAGUAAUACCGGUAAUUGUUCACUUUUCCCUGUGGGAUCGACCCGAUAUAUACUCUAAACUACUAGUUGAUCUGUAUACUUGCAGUGAACGGGUGUAAUUCGGUAUUUUUUAGCUUGCACGUAUGUAAAAUACCCGUCAAGUUUUUGGCGCCGUUGCCGGGGAAGAUUUGGCAAUAUCGGUGUGAAGAGUAACUUUAUUAGUUUAGACAUUUUGUUAGUUAUUGUGUGAAUGUUAUUUUCUGUCAUUUUAGUAUUUUCUGUGUGUAUACAUUUUAUCACCUAUUCUUCUUACUAAUUUUGCUCUUAAGUUGUUUAAAAGUAAUUUUAGGUGAUGAGAAGUGUAGGACAAUUUGGAGGACAAUGCUUGAGAAAUGGAAGAUUGGUAAUGGAUGGUUACCAAGUGCAAAGCUCCUUUAACAGAGGUAACCAAGAAUUUACUGAAUUUAUGUCUUUUGAAGAUGGUUUAAGGUGCUUAAAGGCAAAAUUUGAUGUAAUUAAGUUACAAGUUCAAAUGGAUACCAUGAUGCAUGAAAUUGAGCAGAGGAGGAAUGUUAAUGUUUUUAAUUCUUAUCAUGUGAUUUGUGACUUGUGUGGAGGUUAUCAUGCUACUAAUACAUGUAUGCAAGCACAAAAUGUGGAUUAUUAUGAUGAAUUAGAGCAUUACAAUCCUUGUUUUAAUCAAUAUAGUGCUAAUUGGAGCAAUUCUCCUGCUUAUGGUUGGGAUGAUCAAUGUACUUAUAGUGAUUAUUCAUGUUUUUAUGAUUACCAACCUGAAAGUGUCCAAUAUGAAUCAAAACUAUCUUGGGAGUUGGCAAUAGAGAAGUUAGCUAAUACACCUCUACCUUGGGAGUUAGAAAGUGAACCAUUAGCUAAUGAUUCUAAUGCAUCUUGGGAGCUAGCUGUAGAAAAUUUUUCUAAUCAAUUUGAUUUAGCCAUAGAAAAGCUAGCAAAUGCAACCUCUGACCGUUUUGAAAGGAUUGAGGAAAGGUUAGAUGAAUUAGCUUCUCACUUUGGUGAUAUACAUGAGCAAUUGAAUGUAUUGUGUGAAGUUAUUUCUUCUAAUAAUUUGCAAAAUGAUCCUAGCAUGAAUGGUGGAAAUGUUGUAUGUGAAAAUGGAUUGCAUUUUGAUGAAAAUAAUGAAUCUCAAGAGUGUUUUAAUGAGCGAAUGUCCAUUUCACAUGAUAAUAUCUUUGGAACUAACUUUGAACCUCAAGAGGUGAGUUUUAAUGACUCAAUUUUCACCCCUCUUGAGGAGUGCAUUGAAAGUAUAGGUUCUAAAGGUAUUCCUGCUCAAGAUACUCUCAUGGCAUUCCCUUUGGUAAAUUCUCAAGUGGUGCAUAUUCAAGGUAAUGUCUAUGAAUCACUUGGGAUAGGUAAGUCAUUUCCAUUUCUCACAUCAUUAGAUCUUGUGACUUUUGCUAUAAAGUCACCUUUUAAUGAUCCACCACGGCCUAAAAUGGUGGAUUAUUCGUUAACUAAACCUCCUUGAAAAAUGAGGUGAUAUAGUCAAGCUAAUGACUAUAAAGAAGCGCUUGUUGGGAGGCAACCCAACGAUUUCUUGUUUUUAGUAAGUUUUGGUUGUUUGAUUAAUGUUUUUGUGUGUUUUGUAGGUAGCAAUGACAAGGAAUCAUGCGAAUUAUUUCAAGUGCAAAGGAGUUUAUAAGGAGCGGAGACUAAUGCGAAAAAGGGAAGCUUAACCUUUAUUUUUUGAGUUUUACAAUGCUUAAUUUUAUGUUAUGAGGUUAAGUUAGUCAUUUGAAUGAAGUUGAAGUGCAUUCAAGUGUUUAAAUGUGUUCAUGACCUAUUUGCACUCUUUUGAACCAUUUGAGCACCAUCAUGUGCUUUGGAAGUGUCGAGGGGACUAUUUGAUCCAAGAACUUCAACCCUCAAUUUGGAUUCUACAUGUUUUUGAUUUGAUUUGAGGUGUUGAGAUUCAUGUUUAAGUCACUUUCCAUGUGUGUAAAGUGUUGAAUUGUUCAAAAUUUCAUUGUAGAGCACGAAUUAGAGAGUGUGUUUCAAGUUGGGGCCAAACUAAAAAUUGCAGAAAUUUCUGCAAUAAAUGCAGAAUCCACGGAUCCGAGCUCGGAUCCAUAUGGAUCCAAGGCCUCGGAUCCACUUCUGCAAUCAGAGAAAACUUCGAGCCACGGAUCCGAGGCCUCGGAUCCACUUCUGCAAUCAGAAAUUUUUUUCCAACUCACUGGCCAGAAUCCGGCCGACAAUCCGUCCGGAUAUCCGGCCGGAAACUGGCCGGAUUCUGUCCAGUUUUGCUCAAAAAAAGGAAUCCGCGCACGGAUUCCCCAUUUUCUUUUUCCUCUCUUCUUCAACUUACACACGCACUCACACCUAAAACACACACUACUCACUAAACUCACUCUUUUCACCAUCCAAUCUUCAAAACCAAGUAUACCAAAACACUCCUUUUUCACUUGAGAGAUGAUUUCAUAGCUAAAAAUUCUUCAAAAACAAGUCUAAAUUCGGAUUUGAGCUUAGCAAGAACAAGGGUUUCAAAUUUUUGAACUAUCCAUUUGAGGCCGAAUUGGAGUGAAAUUUUUGGGGGUUUCUUCACCAUUUGCAUCCAUAAUCAUCAACCAACAAGUUUGAGGUAACAAAUCUUCACCAAAUGUUGUCAUUUGAAUUUUGCCAAUUUUUAUUUUUUUUUUAUUUUUGGGGCAAUUUCGAAUUUUUUUCAUUUUGUGAAGUUUGGUGCUUUACAUUGUGCUUAUUGAACUUAUUGAUGAUUAUUGGUGAUGUUUAACUCAUGAGUUUGUAAUUAUUUGGUGAAUUUUUGCUAAAUUUAUGCCUAAUUUGGCUUGGUGACAAAGUUGCAUAUUAAGUGGCCAAUGUAGCAUUUUAAUUAGCUUUGUGGGAGUUUAUGAUAUUCAUGUGAGUAAUUUAGAUUACCUAAUGAAUGAAAAGGGGCUUGGUUGAAUAAUUUCUUGAAUUCUUAGGUAAUUCUAAAAGAAAAGGUGAAUUGAAGAUGACCUUAAUUGAUGAAAUUCAUAAAUGCGCUUAUAAUCCUUGUGGUUCAAUGGUUUCUAGUAUUUCAUGAAUUCUCAAGAAGGUCAUUUAUAUUUUGGCUUGGUGUGUUCGCCUCCAUUUUGAGAUUACUUUUGUACUUGAGGGAACUUGAUCAUUGAUGAAAAAAUGUAUAAAAGGAACUUACUUUGUUCAUAAUGGUGGGCUUAUUUUGUGAAAUUAGCAUCCCUUUGCUUUGGAUACUAAUGUAUAUAUUUGAUUAGCAAGGAUUAGCUCAUUUCAUGUCUUUAUCCCUUGAACAUUGUAUGGUUCCACAUGCUUGAUCAUCUUUCCUUUUUCCUUGACUUGCAUGUUUUCUUCUUGUUGAUUGCAAGCUUUUAUUUUUAAGAAAUUUAUUUGUUUUGAUUUUGUCUUUUUCAGGGUGCAAUAAGUGAACUCUCCAUUCUUUCUCAAAUACGGUUGGAAAUUCAUCACAUUGCCAUGGAUUUGGAUCGCGCAAGUCAUAAGGGGAGUAUUUUCUUUUACUCUCUAUUUAUUUUCCUUUUCUCACAUUGAGGACGAUGUGAAGUUUAAGUGUGGGGGAGGAAAUAUUUGAACUUUACUUGCCAUGUGAUGAUAUUUUGUGGAUUUAAAUGCUUAGAAAUGUUGGAAUUGUGUUUGAAAUGUUUGCCAUGUGGAUAAUUUGCUUGAAAUUGGGUUUGUUGGCAGGGAGUUUUCAUCCAUUUAUAAGGAGAAACUCUGUAAAAUUUUUUCUAAAAUCUUUUCCAAUAUUUCACUAUGGCCCAAAAGUUCUUCAAAUUCUUGCAUUUUCAUUCAAAAAGGGCUAAUUGUUCCAACCUUAUUCUUCCAAUUGUUGAAAUGUUAUAUGUAUUUUGGAAGGUUUAGUCCUCAUUUAACUUGGAAAUGUUUAUUACGCAAUUAGAAUUUUUACAUUUUAGAAAGUAUAUUUGGUAAAGUGAGGAAAAUUAUGCCUAUAAUUUUACAUGUUUAAUGAGAUUUCUUCUCUUUACUUAAUUUUGCAAGUAAGUGAUUGAUAUAGUCGAUAAAUGUUAUAUUCCUCCUUUGAUUAUUCUUAUAUAUUUUCUAAGAGGGAAUAUCUAUUUAUUGUCCUUUAUUUCUGAAAAAGAAAAAAAAAGAAAAAAAAAAGAAAAAAAAGAGAAAAGAAAAGAAAGUAAAAAUUGUUCUACUCCAAUGAUUCUCGUACCGAGUAACCGGGCGUUGGCAUCUACAAAUGUCGACAUUCGCGUAAAAAGGUACUUGAAUUAAGAGUAUGCAUUAGCAACUUGAAUAAGUGAAAUGUUGAGUAACCGGGGAUCUUCACCUAAAAGUGUCGAUUUUCGCGUAAAAAGACAUUCUCACUAUGUAAGUAAAAUUUGUAUGAAUAAAUCCCUCUUAGUUAUAGAAUUUUGAGAAAAAGAUGAUUAUAGGAGGAGGAAAGCUAUAAAUUGACUAUGUGAUUUGCUUAUUUGUAAAAUUAAGUUAGGGUAAGAGAUUAAGUUUAAUUUGUUGAAUUUAGGGUAUAAUUAUCUUUCCUUUACUUGAUAUUAUGAGUAUUUAGUGUAAAUUGAAUAAUUGUAUAAUGAUUAUUUUCCAAGUCUUGAGGAAUUAAAUUGGACAAAGUGCAUAUAUUGUUUCACCUCUUGAAUCAUUGCAUUUGAUUAUGUGUGAAUUGCUUGAGGACAAGCAAUGAUUUAAGUGUGGGGGAGUUUGAUAAGUGACUAAUUUACGUAAUAAUUGUAUGAUAUUUUAUAUUAUUUUUAGUCACUUUGGGUAUAUUAUUGGAAGAAAAUGAUUCAUUUUGGCUAUAAUUGGUGAAAAAUGUUUUUAAGUGGUUAAAUGAGGUUUUUAUCACUUUUUACUUGGAUUUUGUGUAUUUUGACAGUUUUGACACAUUUUCAUAUUUUGGCUAUAACUUGAGCUACAGUGAUCGGAUUAAGAUGAUUCUUGAACCAAUUUGAAGAUAAGAGAUAGAUCUACAACUUUGGUGAAGAUAUCUAAAUCCAGUUUGAAGGUUUUCCAGGUCAAAAUGCCGAAUUACAAUAGCAAAUUUCUACUGGUCGAAACUGGAACAGGGCAAUGAGCAGGUAAGGGUAUUUCGGUCAUUUCUCAGCCUACACAGAUCCAAAUGAGGUGAUUCUUAAUGCAUUGGAAAGCUAACUCAAAGGGCUACAAUUUUUAUGUUUUGGUCAAGAGCUAAAUCAGCUUUUAUCAUCAAGAAAAGUUCAGUUGAAAUUGAGUCAAAAUCGGAGCAGAGCUGGAAAUUGAACCAGAAGUGACCAAAUGGUCACUGUAGCAAUCCGGCCGGAAUUUGGCCGGAUUUGUGGCCGGAUUCCUGGCCGGAUUGUGGUCAGAGAAGUCUGCUUUGUACGCGUAAAACUCAAUUUCACCUCCACCAACUCACAUGUGAUGCUAUACAUGUGAGAAACAUUCCCAGCUGUAAAAGGGAGAUGUAAUCCUCAUUUCUUGACCACCUUUCAUCAUUAAAGAGCCAAAUUCAUUGCAACAAGGAGGGGAGGGAGUUCAUAGCAGAGUAAGAGAUAGAGAGCUACGGGAGAAAGCUUGAAGCUGCAGAAAUGUAGCUCUUUCAUCUCCCUAGUGUUAGUUUAGCUUAGUAUAGAGUAGUGUAGCUUUUCCAUUCUUGUUUAUUAUCUAGAUUAGGAUGAAGAUGGAGGAUGAAGAAGGCAAGGAAGAAAGCUCAUGUGACAAGGGUUGUAUUCCUUCCAAACUCUUUAUCUUUUGUAUUUGAUUCCAAGUUUAGUUAAUAUACAAGUUCUGGAUUUUGUGUUUAAUAUGUGUAUCUAAAGUUUAAGCCUUGGGUUUGGUUGAACUUUCUAUAAUUGUUAGUGUUUAUUAUUUGGUUAUUUGACUGCUAUGAUUUGAGCAAGUUAUUUAGCACUUUGGCUCUUGAAAUCAUGAUUAAUCUGGUACCAUUAAUUGUGAUUAUCUAAGGUGUUAUUUCUGCAAUGAAAAUUGAGAUUUAACAUUAGUUCAAGAAGUGCUAAACAUAGGGAGUACACUCACGAAAGUAGAGGUGCACUUAUGUGGUUUUUAGUGAUUCAUUUCAUGUAAUUUCAUUGAAGAAAUGAACUUGUAGCUAAUUUCAUAACCAUGAAAAUAGGUAUGGAUUAGUUAUGAGUAUAGUUGAUUCACUACGAAAGUAGGUUUCACAUGUUUAAGGAAAUUACACUAUAACUAGCCUAGAUGUAGUAUUCAAUGAUCCAAAUAUAGCACUUGCAUGAGUAGUUAGGGAUACCACAACCUAAGGAGCUUUUAUUUGUUAUUUUGUAUAAUUUCAGUAGGUUAAAUUUCUUAUAAUUCAUUGAUAGUCUAAAUAAUAGAGAAGCUUUAGUAAUACCGGUAAUUGUUCACUCUUCCUUGUGGGAUCGACCCGAUAUAUACCCUAAACUACUAGUUGACCUGUAUACUUGCAGUGAACGGGUGUAAUUCGGUUUUUUUAACUUGUACGUAUGUAAAAUACCCGUCACUUGUCACAUGAGCUUUCUUCCUUGCCUUCUUCAUCCUCCAUCUUCAUCCUAAUCUAGAUAAUAAACAAGAAUGGAUGAACUAUACUACUCUAUACUAAGCUAAACUAAUACAAGGAAGAUGAAAGAGCUACAUUUCUGCAGACUCCAAGCUUCUCCCGUAUGUCUCUCUAUAUCUUACUCUAUCAUCCCUUUUCUCCAUUUUGCAAUGAAUUUGGCUAUUUAUUGAUGAAAGGUUGGUCAAGAAAUGAUGUUUUCAACUCCCUUUUACAGCUGGGAAUGUUUCUCACAUGUCUAGCAUCACAUGUGAGUUGGUGGAGGUGAAAUUGAGUUUUACGCGUAUAAAGCAGCCUUUUCUGACCAGUGAUCCGAGCUUCUACAGUGCCUCGGAUCCACUUACCCAGAAACAACCGAGGGUUCGGAUGAAUAGUGGAUCCGAGUGUGGAUCACUUGCUCUGUUUUUGGCCCAAUUUCAACCGAUCUUUUCUGAUGUUAGAGGCUGAACCAGCUCAUGUCUAAAACACGAAAGUUGUAGCCUUUUGAGUUAUCUUUCCAAUGCAUCAAGAAUCACCUCAUUUGGAUCUGUGUAGGCUGAGAUAUGAUGGAAAUACCCUUGCCUGCUCCAUGCCUUGUUCCAGUUUCGACCAAUAGCAAUUGACUCUGUACUUCGGCUUUUUGACCUGGAAAACCUUCAAACUGGAUUCAGAUGUCUUCACCAAAGUUGUUGAUCUAUCUCUUAUCUUCAAAUGGGUUCAAGAAUCAUCCAAAUCCGAUCAUUGUAACUCAAGUUAUAGCCGAAAUACGAAAAUGUGUCAAAACUGUCAAAAUACACAAAAUCCAAGUAAAAAGUGAUAAAAACCUCAUUUAAUUGAACAAAAGCAUUUUAUACCAAUUAUAGCCAAAAUGAAUCAUUUUCUUCCAAUAAUAUACUCAAAGUGACUAAAAAUAAUAUAAAAUAUCAUACAAUUAUUACGUAAAUUAGUCACUUAUCAGUGGUUUUCUAUAAAUGGAAAUAUAUUGUAGCAUAUACAACUUAUGCAUUGAAGGAAUUUGUAGUUUGAAUCGUAGCAAUUGAGUACCUAUUGCUUUUUAGUUUUUUAAGUACCUAUUAUUUAUUUCAUUACAAAGUUUAAAUAUUUACAUCCAGAUAGAGUAAUGCUAAUGACACUUCAAUUAUUGUUAACGACACUAAGUUUACCUUUAUAAAAGUUGGUCAAGAAAAUGAAGUGUCAAUGACAACAAUUGUUAAACUAAAACAAUUUUCUUUCUUUUGGGAAAAUCAAACUACUUUCCCAAGUAUAUAUUUCACUUUUAUGUUUUAAAAAAUCUCAAUCUGUUAAUUAAAUUCACAAUGUUGCUAUUAUAAAAAAUAUUCCUUCUCAAAUUAACAUGAAUGAGUAGAUGUAAGAUAUAAAUGUGGUAAAAUAUCGCUCAUACACAUGUCAUGGAUUUUUUAAAUUUUCAACAAACAAUGAUUUUGUUGUUAAAAUUAUAACAUGGUAAUCUGUUGUGGUAAUUAUUUUAGGAUUCUUUUGUACAUGAAAUGAAUUUAAUUUAAAUUACACAAUAGAUUAUAUGGACAUGUGAAUUUUUUUAUUGGUUGAGGUAAUUAAUAUCUUUUUAUUGAACCGUUAGUGGUGAUUGCUAGUCAAGGGUGAAACUACAAUAAAAAAUAAAGUUAGUGAGAAAAGUGCAAAUGGCUAUGGGUUUUAGUGCUUAAAACAAAAAAAAAAGGAUAAAAUUUUUCUUUUUGAGUUAUAAAGUGUCCUUCCAUGUGAUAGAACUCUCUAUUAAAAUUUGAAACGGUUAAGAAUUUGCAAAAUUUUUUACUUUUUAAUAGUAAGUUUAACUUAAAGAAAAAUAAAUUUUAUCAACCAGCAAAUUUACUGAAAUUGUAAAUUUCCUAUAUGACUAAAACUUACUGUUUUAGGGGAUGUGCUUACCAAUUUUCUUAAUAAACUAACCAACACUAAUAUUGAUUAUUUAAUACGAUAUUGGAAAAAAUGCUAAAAAACUAAUCUUUUGCCAAAGUUAAUGGAAUCCGGCAGUAGUGCAUUACCCCAUUGUUGUUACUAUGACUUGCAAUACCGUAGCAUUGUCCUUUAAUAGGGACAUGCUGGGAGAUGAAUGGGUCGGAUAGUAAGAAGGGGUGAAUGUAAGUAAGAGAAAUCUCCUAUUUAUAUUUAAGAAAAAAAGUUCACAGUAUAAUUGACGGGAUUUUUAUAUCAAUGCAAGUUUAGUUCCGAUUUUACACCCGUUGGACUGCAAGUAUACAGGUCGCAAUUGUAGUACAAGAUGUGUAUCGAGUCGAUCCCACGAGGAGCAAUUUAACCAAUUACUAAGCCCUUGUUCUCUCUAUUAUUUAGACUUACAAUUAAAUUGAGCAGAGAAAGUCUAAUGCGGUAAUCUACAAAUCUGAUAUACAAAUCUAGUUUAACAAAUGCUGAAUGCAAAUAGAGAAAUUUCACUUAAGGAAGAUUCUAGGGAUGUAGAUUCCACUUAUGGCAUAAACAACACAAAUGAAUGGAUUUACUUCUUGAUAUUAUUCUUGCUUAACCAGAGAUUCAUUUCCAAAGUUUCCAAGUCUCAUUUUCAUGAUGAAAUGGCCUAAAGCAAUAUAGAUUUCCCUAUUUUCAUGGUGAAAUACUACUAUUACUCUGUUUUAUUUCAUGAAAUGCUAAGUAAUCCACCUAAGUGUAUCUCUAUUUUCAUGAACAUACAACUCAAGCUCUACUCAUGUGUUUCCAUUGUUAUUACCAAUUCUCAUUGAACAAUAACAACUAUAACCAAACUAUUGGUGAUCAAUCAAUAGCAAGUAAUCACAGCUACACAAGUAGACAAGUUAAUACAAGAUAUAACAAGUGUAAAUCACAUUCAAUUUAUACUAUUUAGCCAUAAGUUUCAUCUACUCCCUAGAUGAAGAAAGUUAGCUACUCAUGUAUGAUUCAACAAUCAGAAUCACAAGUUUAUUGCUGCAAAACAUCAUACAGUACAAGUAUAAGAAAGAUAAAAGAAAGCUUAGCCAACUGAAGGUGAAGCUCUCUAAUUCCUGCUAUGCUCUUGCACAAUCUGAUUACAAGUGAAAAACUCCAAAGACAAAAUGCUUCUCCCAAGACUCCUAACUAGAGAGAAACUUGUUACAAAAUGAAAAACUAGCUACAUAUGGUAAUGCCAGGCUUCUCCCCUGCUUUCUGCAUAAAAAUGUGGUAAAAAUUCCAUUCCUCUCACUUCAUAAUUUCCUCCACUCAGAUUUUGUAAAAGAAGUCAAAGAUAUGAUGUUUCCUUUUGCCCACACUCAUUUGGUCUUCUCUUUUGUUGUAGAAGCAUGUGCCACCGAUUUCUGUCCCUCAAAAUAGCUGGAAAAGUUGUGAGAAAGGUAAAGAAAAACGGCUGUGCCACUUGCUGAAGAGAGAGACAGAUCCGAGUCUCGGAUCCGAGGGCUGAAAAAUGGAUCCGAGCUCGGAUCAUAGGAUCCGAGGACUUCCCAUGAUGGAUUCGAGGUCGGAUCGUCCUGACCUCGGAUACACUCCGCCAGAAGUACAGACGAGGGGUCGGAUCCCUCUUGUACACACGGAUCCGACCUCGGAUCCGUGUUGAGCACUUUUCCAGUUUUUCACUUCUUCCCUUUUCCUACAUUUUUGCUCCCAAUUUCUUGUGUACUUUGUCCUCUAGAUGACCCUGACAUUUCUUUCAACUUGUGCAUGAAUUUCAUACAUCAAUUACCUUCACAAUUUCACAAAAUUAACGCAUUAAUCCACUCAUUUAUCAAUUUCUGAACCCUUAAACAAUAUUUAAGCAAUUAUCACCAAAAGAGUUCAAAUAUGGCUUUAAUCUUCUCAAAACAUACAAAAAAUUCAUGCCAAAUUCGUACAAAAUGUACGUUAAAUAUUCACUCAUCAAUAAUUGACGUGCGCAGGGUAUACAUAUCAAUUUAACCUCAUUCUAAUCAAGUUUUACAUUUAUAAACUCCUAACACCCCACACGCGAUUUAUCGCAAGUAUACGAAUCGUGAGCGAGUAUAGGGUAUUAAGGGUCGAUCCCACAAGGAAGAUUGCAAUUACCGGUACUACUAAAUCUUCUCUAUUAUUUAGACUAUCAAUAAAUUAUAACAAAUUUAACCUACUGAAAUUAUACAAAAUGAUAGCAAAUGAAAGCUCCUUAGGUUGUGGUAUCCCUAACUACUCAUGCAAGUGCUAUAUUUGGAUCAUUGAGUGCUACAUCUAGGCUAAUUAUAGUGUAAUUUCCUUAAACAUGUGAAACCUACUUUCGUAGUGAAUCAACUAUACUCAUAACUAAUCCAUACCUAUUUUCAUGGUUAUGAAAUUAGCUACAAGUUCAUUUCUUCAAUGAAAUUACAUGAAAUGAAUCACUAAAAACCACAUAAGUGCACCUCUACUUUCGUGAGUGUACUCCCUAUGUUUAGCACCUCUUGAACUAGUGUUAAAUCUCAAUUUUCAUUGCAGAAACAACACCUUAGAUAAUCACAAUCAAUGGUACCAGAUUAAUCAUGAUUUAAAGAGCCAAAUUGCUAAAUAACUUGCUUAAAUCAUAGCAGUCAAAUAACCAAAGAAUAAACACUCACAAUCAUAGAAAGUUCAACCAAACCCAAGGUAUAAACUUUAAAGACACAUAUUAAACACAAAAUCCAGAACUUGUAUAUUAGCUAAACUUGGAAUCAAGUACAAAAGAUAAAGAGUUUGGAAGGAAUACAACCCUUGUCACAUGAGCUUUCUUCCUUGCCUUCUUCAUCCUCCAUCUUCAUCCUAAUCUAGAUAAUAAACAAGAAUGGAAAAGCUACACUACUUUAUACUAAGCUAAACUAACACUAGGAAGAUGAAAGAGCUACAUUUCUGCAGCUUCAAGCUUUCUCCCGUAGCUCACUCUAUCUCUUACUCUAUCAUCCCCCCUCUUCCUUUUGCAAUGAAUUUGGCUAUUUAAUGAUGAAAGGUUGGUCAAGAAAUGAUGUUUUCAACUCCCUUUUACAGCUGGGAAUGUUUCUCACAUGUCUAGCAUCACAUGUGAGUUGGUGGAGGUGAAAUUGAGUUUUACGCGUAUAAAGCAGCCUUUUCUGACCAGUGAUCCGAGCUGCUACAGUGCCUCGGAUCCGUAUGGAUCCGAGCUCGGAUCCACUAACCCAGAAACAGCCGAGGGUUCGGAUGAAUAGUGGAUCCGAGUGUGGAUCACUUGCUCUGUUUUUGGCCCAACUUCAACCGAUCUUUUCUUGAUGUUAGAGGCUGAACCAGCUCAUGUCUAAAACAUGAAAGUUGUAGCCUUUUGAGUUAUCUUUCCAAUGCAUCAAGAAUCACCUCAUUUGGAUCUGUGUAGGCUGAGAUAUGACUGAAAUACCCUUGACUGCUCAUUGCCCUGUUUCAGUUUCGACCAGUAGAAAUUUGCUAUUGUAAUUCAGCAUUUUGACCUGGAAAACCUUCAAACUGGAUUUAGAUGUCUUCACCAAAGUUGUAGAUCUAUCUCUUAUCUUCAAAUUGGUUCAAGAAUCAUCUUAAGCCGAUCACUGUAGCUCAAGUUAUAGCCGAAAUACAAAAAUGUGUCAAAACUGUCAAAAUACACAAAAUCCAAGUAAAAAGUGAUAAAAACCUCAUUUAAUUGAACAAAAGCAUUUUAUACCAAUUAUAGCCAAAAUGAAUCAUUUUCUUCCAAUAAUAUACUCAAAGUGACUAAAAAUAAUAUAAAAUAUCAUACAAUUAUUACGUAAAUUAGUCACUUAUCAAUAAUGCAAGCUGAAUAGUGAAGUUAAAAAUUUGCUAGAGUGGAGGAUGGGAUUUAAAAUCAUUAUGAAAAAUGUUAUCGAGUCCAUAAUAUUGUUAUUGAAAUCUUAUGAUACGUGUUGCAAGUAAACCAAAAGGGUUGCGAAGAAAAGGUUGUAUAACAUCCAAAUAAAGAAUGGAGUGUUUAUUAUUAGGUGGAAAUCACACUCCACUACUAAUCAAAACCAGGCCGAUAGUAACAACUUUAAAAAAAUUAAGCUUGAUUUGUAUUUUAAUCAAGAACUCUUUUUUUUGGUAGAAGGUCAAUUGUAAUCCAACUAAGCUACUAUGGGAGGCUCCAGACCCACAGUGACAGCUAUAAAAGAAGGAGGGUUAUUAUCACUUUACCCUCUUAACGUUCAGUGCCACUAUCAAUUUUUUUCUUAACGUUAUUUUAUAGUCAUUUUGCCUCCAAAACUAACGAUCAAAUUUAAUGGAAUAUGUUAAUUAAAGUAAAAAGACAUGUUUAACCCUUAAAAUUAUUAUCACUUUAUCCCUUUAAACUAUAACAAUCAAAAAAGGAUACCAUUUGAGGUAGACAUUGCUUCCCGCGUUUUCCAUCUGCAAUCCUGAAUUAACUCAUGCGUGCAAGCUAUUCUUUGUAAUCUCAAGUAAUCCCUUUUCAGCCACUACAUUUUUCUUGGUCCUAAACGGUUUUAAUUCUCUUUAAGCUUCUUCAUUUCUCAUCAGCCCCUGGCCUUUACUCUAUCUCUAUCUCACCUUCCUUUUCACGUAUCACUUUCCUCUUUAGUAGUAUAAAUUAAGUUUCAAAACAUCCCCAGUAUCCCCCCAAUCGUAUCAGAUCUGCUUUUGCCGUAACCAUUGUAAGGUUUUUCGCUCUGGACUUCUUUUUAAUUAUUGAUAUGAACCGACCUACUAUGUACUCUUCCUCUUUAUUAUUAUUUUUUUCUGAAAAAUUCGAACAAUGGCAAGAUACAAGAACAGGGAGAAAAAUUUACUCAUAACUAGCAGUAGUAUGUUUUUCUAACCAUAUUUCUGUUUACAUUUUGCAGGUCUACUAGAAAAUGGUAACUUUGAGGAAGGGCCAAAGGUAUCAAACCUUAAGAAAAGACAGAUCAUAGGAAAAUACUCCUUGCCCAAAUGGAAAAUUCAUGGCAUAGUUGAAUAUGUUUCAAGUGGACGGCAACCUGGUGGUUUUUACUUCGCAAUCCCUCGUGGGGCUCAGGCAGCGAGGCUUGGAAAUGAGGCUUCCAUAUCUCAAUAUGUUAAGGUGAAACCUGGAGCGAUAUACUCAUUGACCUUUGCAGUCACCAGGACUUGUGCCCAAGAUGAGAAGCUAAGGGUUCCUGUCCCUGGUUUUUCGACUGAACUCCCAAUUCAAACACUGCUUAGCAGCGAUGGUGGUGAUACUUAUGCAUGGGCUGUUAAGGCAACUUCUGAUGUUGUCAAGGUUACAUUUCAUAAUCCUGGAAUUCAAGAGGAUCCUACCUGUGGACCUCUUUUGGAUGCAAUUGCAAUCAAGGAGAUGCUUCCUCUCAGAUACACUAAGGGUAAGUCCUCUUCCAAAUUUGGAAUUUUUUUCCUAUAUCAUCUGCCUCCCAGAUCUUUAAGCAGAUAUGUGAAAGCUCGAUAUUGGCCAGUACAAGAAAAAUGUUAAUGGCGCACACUUAUCUGUUAAUGAUACUCCUCUUGACUUUUCUAAUGGCAGCUGUAAAUUCAAAGAAAAACAUGGCAAUUUUUAUCUGAUUCAUAUGGCAAAAGGUUGAAAAAAAAAGGGUGCCGUUCACAGAGAAAGGAGUGCCAUUAACAUUUAUCCCAAAAUAAUUGUCUGAAUUGUUGGGCAAUGGUCGUAAGUUGAUGACAACUAUGGCUGCAAACGAGCCAAGCCGAAUCGAGUUUUGAGCUAAUCGAGCCGAGUCUCGACUAAAUUUUACCAAGUUCGAACUCGAACUCGAGCUCGACGAGCCGGCGAUUUUCAAGGUCGAGCUCGAAAAAAAUAAAAAAAUAAUUAUUUUAUUUAAAAAAAAUAAAUAAAAUAAUAUUUUUUUAAAUAAAUAAUAAAAAUAUUAAGGAUAUAUAUGUAAUUUUACUAUGAAAAUAAAUAUAUAUAUAAUAUACGUAAUUUUAUUUUUAAAUAAAAAUAAUAAUAAAAAAAAUAUAUAUAUACUAAAGGCUUGCGAGCUAACGAGUUUAAUAUUGUAAGCUCGAGUUUGACUCGAGCUCGACUCGAGCUUGACUCGAGCCGCUCGCAAGCGGCUCGAUUCGUUUGCAACCCUAAUUACAACCCAACUGCCUUUUUGUUCUUUUUAUUAUUGACUGUUGAUAUUCGUUCACGAAGACACUAUCUUUAAAAUAUAAAUUUGUAGUUUCUUCUAAAUAUAUAGUAAAUGUUAACCAAUGCAAUGUAUAUUUCAUAAUUCAUAGAAAGCUCCUAAUUUGCACUGAAAUUAUGCAGGUACCUUGGUCAAAAAUGGUGAUUUUGAAACUGGCCCUCAUGUGUUCAAGAAUUUCUCAACUGGGGUGCUGCUCCUCCCUAAGAGGACGGACAUCUACUCAUCGCUCCCUGGAUGGAUUGUUGAAUCCCUCAAACCAGUUAAGUAUAGGGAUGGCAACGGGGCGGGGUUGGGGCGGGGGACCCCUCCCCCAUCCCCCGCCCCGCUACCUACAAACUCCCCUCUCUCCCGCCCCGUCCCGCCCCGCUUCUCCCGCUGGUGCUUCCGCGGGGCUAAUAAAAAUUUGUUAUAUAAUUUUAUUAUAAUCAAAUUUUAGCAAAUAAUCAAGUACUAAAUAUCAACACAUCAUCAAAUUAUUAUUCAUUGUAAUUUUACAAUUGAAACUUAUAAAAACAAUCAAACAAAAAUUAUUUGAAUAUAAUCCAACAUGAUGAAAUAAAUAUAACUAAAGUAGUCAAGUUUUCACUUUUGACACAAAUACAAUCACUAAUUCAUUAUUGUGCUUGUGCUUUUUUUAAGAAAAAAUGUUAUUGUAUUAAUUGUAAUUAGGGAUUUAGUAUAAAUGUAUUAGUAAAUUUAGUAUAACCAAUUAAUAAUUUGUAUUAGUACACAUAUAUAAUUAUUAGUAUAAUUAAUAAUAUCAAUUAUAUUAUAUAUACUAAUAGACAUCAUAUAAUACAUAUAACUAAUAAUAUCAUUAUCAUAAGUUUGUAACUAAUUAAAUUAUAUAUUAUAUAUAUAAUUAUAUAUAUAUUUUUUAUUUUUAUUUUUUUUAAAGAGGCCCGCCCCCGCCUCGUUUCUAAGUGGGGGGGGAAAAAUUCCCCCCUCUCCAUUAGCCCCAUGCGGGGCGGGUGACCCCGCCCCAUUGCCAUCCCUAGUUAAGUAUGUUGACUCGAAGCAUUUCUCUGUUCCCCAGGGACUUGCAGCUAUUGAAUUGGUUGGAGGAAGAGAAACUGCUAUUGCACAAAUCAUAAGAACAGUACCUAACAAGUUCUACUUUCUUUCCUUCGCUUUUGGGGAUGCUAGGAAUGGUUGUCAUGGAUCUAUGACGAUUGAAGCUUUUGGAGCUAGGAAAACCAUAAAAGUUUCAUUUACAUCAACUGGAAUUGGUGGAUCCAAGACUGCCAUCCUCAAGUUUCAAGCACUUUCAAACAGAACAAGAAUAACUUUUUAUAGCCCAAAUUAUCACACAAAGCUUCAUGACUAUGGUCACAUAUGUGGUCCUGUUUUGGAUGAUGUUAAAGUGUUUCCUAUCAAAUAGUCACUAUUAGGGUGAACAUCAAAAAGCAACAUAUAGUUUUGGAAGCUUUUUCUUUUCUUUUUUUUUUUUGUUAGUUCAUGAACAAGACAACCCAAACCCAUAAACAUCGAUCCACGGUAUGAGGGAGGGGAAGCGGGCAUGAGAUAUAAAUUGUGUAAUUUAUAUCUCUAUACUAUUAAAAAAAAAUCUUUCUAGUUUCUAAAGUUUAGGCUUCAAAUAUUGCAUAGGAUCAAUUUAAGCCAUUCAUUUUAUUUGUUUUUUGUUUUUUGUUGUUAUGUCAUUGGUGUGUAAUGUUGAAAACUACAACCUUGGAUUUAAGCUUUUUUUUUUUUUUGGCUAACAUUGCAUUUUUUUUAAAAAUAUCUUGACAUUACUACAAGUCUAUAACCUUGGAUUUAAGAAGUGUUUUUUUGGCUAACAUUGCAAUUUUUAAAUAUCUUGACAUCUAUCAUUGCUGUGCUGUUAUUAGGAUUAUAUAAGAGAUAAUUUCAAAAACCUCCCUUGAGGUUUUUUCUAAUCACACCUAACACCCCUCAAGUUUCUAAAAUCACACUUAACACCCUUAGAAUGACAACCUUUGUAACAUAAUAGCCCUUUUAUGUAAAAAUAUAUUAAAAAAUAUGUUUAGUAGAGGGACUAUAGUAUUCUUCCAAUUUUGCCCUUUUGUUAGUUGAUUUUUAAAUUUUAGAAGAUGAAAAUAAAAACAAAUAGAACUACAAUAUUUGCAUAGAAAUUGAAGGAGUGUAAGUACAAUAACUGCUGAAUUGUAUCAUUUUUGUUGAUUCAUAUGACCAUUAUAAGAUCUGUGCCAAAGUUUUUGAUAGAAAGGAAAAAAAAAAUUUGAAUACUGUUUGUUAACCAGUUUUUUCAAAAAUUUUGUUUUUGAUAAUUGAAAACCAUUAUAGGUAUAUUUAAUAUGCAUUUUUUCCAUGAUUUCAAUUGCAUCCCAGCAUUUUUUUCACCAAAUGAAUGAUUUUAACAUAUUUUUCCCUCACCUCUUACUGAUUAAACUACAUAACAAGAUAAAAUCGUAGUUAAAAAAAGAUAGAUUUUCUAUGUUUAGAUUAUCUAAGUACCUCAACGCUGAGUUGAGCUAUGACACUGAUCCAUCGGAAAACAAGCUUGUAGCAUUACAGAAGGCUCGGGCUCAUCUUCGGCGGUCGCAAGGGGUGGAGCAUAUGUUUUGGCAACAAAAAUCAAGGGUCAAAUGGUUGAAGGAUGGAGAUCGAAAUUCGAGAUAUUUCCAUGCAGUGGUGGCAGAGCGCCACCAACGGUCGGUAAUCCAUCGGAUUAAAUCAUCCACCGGGGAUUGGCUGGAGUCUGCGGAUGACAUUGAGAGUGAAGCCGAAUCCUUUUUUAAACGGUUAUUUACGGCAGAGUCCCCUAGUGCAUCCUUUAAUGCUCUUGACGUUAUACCGAAAUUGCUGACGGACCAGGAUAAUGACAUGCUAGACGAGAUCCCUUCUAAGGAAGAAGUUAAGUCAGUGAUUUUUGCAAUGGAUGGUGGGAGUGCGGCUGGGCCGGAUGGGUUCUCGGGUAGGUUUUUUACGUGUGCAUGGGACAUUGUGGCAGAGGAUGUCCAUGCGGCUGUGGUAAGUUUCUUCUGUGGAGAGGUGCUGCCUAGGAGUAUAUCUUCCACUUCAAUAGUGCUGAUUCCGAAGGUCCAGUCUCCGCAGGAUUUUACCCAAUUCCGUCCGAUUAGCUUGUGUAACUUUAUCAAUAAGGUGAUAUCCAAGGUUUUGUCGGACAGAUUAGCAUGGAUCUUGCCGAAGAUUAUUUCCCCUCAGCAGAGUGGCUUUGUGAAAGGAAGGCAUAUCUCUGAUAAUUUUCUGUUGGCUCAGGAGCUUAUAUCUGGUAUUCGUCGCUCUAAUAGGGGAGGGAAUGUGGUGUUAAAGUUGGACAUGGCCAAGGCUUACGACCGCAUUUCAUGGGUUUUCUUGUUACAAGUACUGCGUCGAUUUGGUUUCACGGAGAGGUGGAUUGAUAUGAUUUGGCGAUUAAUCUCCAAUGUUUGGUUUUCGGUUCUGGUCAACGGCUCUCCUUGUGGCUUUUUCCAAUCAACUAGGGGGCUCCGACAAGGUGACCCCAUUUCACCGGCUCUUUUUGUUAUUGGGGCAGAGGUCCUGUCUAGGUUGCUUAACUCUUUGGUUGGCCAGCGUGGAUUCCUGCCGUUUAAGAUUCCUUCCACAUGUCCUGUCAUUACACAUCUAGCUUUUGCAGAUGACGUAAUUAUUUUUUGUAGCGGGGUUAAGAGUACUUUGCGGCAUGUUAUGAAGGUAUUGGGGAUGUAUUGUAGUAUGUCUGGGCAGCAGGUAAAUUGUCUGAAGAGUUGCUUUGUUACUCAUGAUAAGUUGAGCCCUGCUCGCCGACGAGUGGUGUCACAAGUUUCUGGUUUUCAGGCCAAGUCCCUCCCACUUAAGUAUCUUGGAUGCACUCUCUAUUCCGGAAGACGGAGAUGUAGCUACUUCUUGGACAUCUGCUCCUCAGUUGCAAAGCGGGAUCUAUCGUGGAAGGAAAAGUUAUUGUCGCCUGGUGGGCGUUUGGUUUUAAUCAGGAGUGUUUUGUCGUCGUUGCCUCUACACAUCCUUGCUGUCACGGAUCCUCCAAAGGGUGUGCUUCAUACCCUCGAGAAGGUUUUUGCAAAUUUCCUUUGGGGAAGGUCUGAGGGGGGUAAUCGCUACCAUUGGAUUAGAUGGGAGACUAUGUGCAAACCGCUUGAUGAAGGGGGGAUUGGCGUGCGGUCCCUGGCGGAUGUGUUGGAGACAUUUUCAGUGAAGCUAUGGUGGUCCCUCAGGCAAUGUUUAUCCCUCUGGGCAAAAUUUAUGCACGAUAAAUACCUCCAUGGCGGUCAUGUGUGUGAAGCGGAACUUCAGCGCUUUCAAUCUCCCACCUGGAGGAGGCUGGUCAGGUGCCAGGCUCUGGCAGAUUCCCAUAUCCAGUGGGUGUUGCAGAAUGGAAUGGUCGACUUUUGGCAUGAGAAUUGGAUGGGUGCAGGGUCGUUGUGUCAACAGGUUGAGAAUUUUGGUGAUCACGCCGUAGCGGACUUCGUGUUGAAUGGGAGCUGGAACGUUUCGAUGCUUCAUCAAUGGCUACCUGAUAGCAUUGUUUCUAGGAUUAUGCAAAUACGCCCUCCUGAUAUUUUUUCUACACGCCCAGAUAGGAUGGUGUGGGACUUGGAGACAACUGGUUCCUUCUCCUUCUCAUCUGCAUAUAAUUUGGUCCGACAGAAAUCCAACAUUUCCAUCUUCUCCUCUAAUAUUUGGUUGUCAGCUUUGCCUGUAAAAAUCUCUUUUUUUAUGAUUAGGAUGUUAUCGGGCCGCCUGCCUGUGAUGGAAUCGCUGCAGAGGCGGGGUGUCUGCGGUCCAUCUCGGUGUUCUUGCUGUGUCAACCCAGCGGUGGAGUCAGUUGAUCAUGUCUUUUGUGCUGGAGAUGUCCCACGGUGGGUAUGGAAUUCUUUUCAGGUAGAGGCAGGAGACUUUGCACAUGUCUCAACGGUAAAACAUGCAGUCAUUCAAUGGUGGAUGCGCCCGGCUAAGAACAAGUUGAUGAAAUUGUUGUAUCAGAUAUUGCCUUCGCUUAUUUGUUGGCAUCUUUGGAAGGCUAGGAAUGUGGCGGUGUGGGAAGGAAAGGUGUUGUCAGCGAUACAGGUCCAUGGCUUUAUUCUUUCGGAUCUCUGUGAUAUUCUUCAGAUGCACUUUAAGGAUAUGGGGGUGGGACGUUAUUCGUGGCAUCGACUACACAUUUCGCUGAUGGGGUGGAAGAAGGAAAUGAGGGUCACAUUAGUCAGGUGGCUGCCUCCGGCUUCUACCCUCCUAAAACUGAACACUGAUGGGUGCUCCUUAGGGAAUCCGGGGAGGAGUGGAGGUGGUGGGAUUUUGCGAGAUAGUGCAGGAAUUUUCAGACUUGGUUUUGCGGGUUAUUGGGGAGAGACGACGAGCCUACAUUCAGAAUUGAAGGCCUUGUUAUUUGGGAUUAAGUUGUGUGUCACGCAAAGCUUUUGUUGCUUGCACCUGGAGUCUGAUUCCAUUCUUUUAGUCCAAAUGGUCACGGGGGUUGGUAGAUGCCCAUGGGCCUUGCAACGAGAGCUGGACGAGUUGCUUGCCUUUCGGAAUGCUUUUCAAGCUGUCUCCCACUGUUAUCGCCAAGCGAAUGUGCCAGCAGAUCGGCUUUCUAAGAUUGGGACAGAUACCCGCUCUACUGUUAUCUAUAACUCGUUUGCGCAAUUGCCGCGUUUGGUUCGAGGAGACCUUAGGUUGGAUAGGCUUGGCUAUCCUAACUUCCGUGCUUCUUGAGCGCCGGCGUGCUUGUGUUUAGUGAUGUUUCCAUGUACUGGUUCAGGAAAAAGGGGGGGAUAGGUGAGGAUAGGUCAAGUCUUUUGUUCAUGGCCAUGCUGCAAAUCUUGUAACUUUUAUGAUUUUGUAUUGAAUAAAAACAAAUAUUAUAUGGAAAAAAAAAAAAAGAUUAUCUAAGUACCUCAAAACCUAUCUUCUGUUGCAUAUGCAAAAAAAAUAGAGCCCAAAUUUUAUGGCAUUUUUGUUACUUUAUUUUUACAUAAUCGAACAUAAAUGUUUUUUCCUUUUUCUUGCCUUUUCUUGCAUAAGAAAUAUGAAAAGGCAAAAAGGAAUCAACUUGUUUUUAUUUUCAUCUUCUAGUUUUCAAAAAUCAACUUGCAAAAGGGCGAAUGUGGAAGAAUAUUAUAGUCUCUCUCUUAAAUACAUUUUUAAUACUAUUUUUACCUAAACGGGUUGAUAUGCUACAAAAGUUGUCAUUCUAAGGGUGCUAAGUGUGAUUUCAAAAACUUUAGGGGUGCUAGGUGUGAUUAGGAAAAACCUCAAGGAAGGUUUCUGAAAUUAUCCCGUUAUAUAAUUUGAGCUAUGAUUUGAUGUGUCUGUUAUUAGGAUUAUAUAAUCUGAAAUAUGAUUUGAUGUAUUCAUGUGUGUAUGUAUGUGUGUUUUUAAACGAUUUAUUCGUUGGAUCUUGAUUUUGAAAACUUGAAUUUAGUAUUUGGGUUGCUAGUCAUUUUCUUUUUUCAUUGGAAGGGAGAACAUACUAAAUUAAUGUAACCACCAAACCAUCAAUCGAUAAUCCAUUCAGUCUAUCCGUCAUAGAGUUUUGUUUUAAAAGCGCAAUCUGUCCUGAUGACCUACCAAUUCUUUUGACCGCUCAUGGUUAUGAAAAAAAUUUUAACUAAUUACAAAUUAUUUAUUUUUAACUAAAGACUAGCAUAUGUGAAAAUAAUUUAUAAGUAAGUUGUUUUGAAGGCUUGUAAUUAAUAUAGCUAACCAUAGGAUGUGGAAGUGUUCAUGUUUGAAAGGAAGAAGAAAAAUCGCAAAUAUACACUACACAUAGACCAUAAGGAAAAAACUCAACAUAUACAUAAGUGAAAAUUAAGUAAGUAAAGAAACAAGCAUGGAUUGUUGCCCAUAUCAAUCAAGACGAAAUUAGUAAUUAAAACCUGCUAAAAUCCUUGUCCUUGUUUAUACAUUGCAUACAACAACACCACUACUGUAAUCAAAAUAUGUAUGAUACUUCUACUUAUUGCCUGAAUUCUCACCAUCAAUUUUGAGAGAGGUCAUAUUGACACAUAACCACCAGCACAACCAUUUUGCCAUGCUAAGUUGGACAAAUCAGUACCACCAAUAGCAUACUUCCAAACAUCCUCCAUAUUGAAAUCAGAGGGGAUCAUGGUACCCCCUGAUAAAUGGACCGGUUCCAUACUCAAAUUAGAGGGCAUCAUGGUACCCUUUGAUAAAUGGAACGGUUCAGUGAACUCUUGAGUACUUUGAGUAAUUGCUUCGAGCCCACCAUGAGAAUUAGUGUAUCCUUGGAAAUCUUGAAAUAGAUCAUGAGGAAAUUGGAAACUAGAAAGAUCAUAGAUAACCUGGUUUGAAUUGGCAUCACCUCCUGUGUCUAGAGCGCUGGUAAUAUACUCCAUACAUUGAUCGUUUGUAGAACCAGCAGCCAAAUCAUUGUCCUCAUUCUGCAUGGGAGCUUCAUUCACUGUAAGACACUGGUCAAGAUUUUCCCUCAUCAAUUCUUCCGUGUCACCUUCAUUUUCAUCUUUGUUUUUGCGUUUUAUGUUCAUAUACAAUCUACACAAAACUGGAUCCGACUGUCAAAAAUGAACAACAUGUUAGUAAUGUAUAAUGGAGUUUGGAAAUAAAAAAAGCCAUGCAAAUGGACAGCCUAUAUUAUUUGAGAAGUGGUUACUGAGCACUUAGUAGAAUAUUGUUGUAAAGACUUGUAGAUUAAGAAGUGGACACCACUACUCUUUUACAUAAUAGUGUAUGUAUGUACUAUACUGACAGAAAUCAAGAAGUAAAUUGUUCUUGACUUGGUGGGUAGAGCUCGGUUGUCAAAGAGUUUUAAUCACCACUUCCCGAAAAUUAUCAAAAAAAAAAAAAAAAACCCUAACUUGUUUCCUACUGAAAACUUAUUCUUAUGCUGUAUAUGAAGAUUUCUACCUUCUAAUGAUUAUAUCUGUUGGACUCAAGCAUGAAAACUGGGAGCGCAGGGAGAGGAAAUCUCCUCCCAAGUUCUAUAUAUUCAUAUUUUUUUUGAAAAUUUUUCUAUGUUGGUUCUGAAAUUUACAUGUGCAUGCAUGUUACAUCUUCAAAUCCAUCGUUGGUUGGGCAACAUAUAUGUCUAGCUACCUAGGCGCACUAUGUGUAUAAACAUCCAAAAUGUGCCUAUAUAUCCAAACUAAGACAUGCAUAGAUAACACAUAAAAGACAUUAAAAUGUUUCAUGAAAUAAUCAGAUGAGAAGGAGAAGAGAAGAAGUGAGAAUAAGCAUAGCAUGAAUUGUUAUUCUUAUUACUGUCCAUUGAAAAGAUUAUAAGAAUACCUUGAAGUAUAUAAAUAAUAUAUAAAGCAAGUUAAUCAGAAAAUAAGUACUGGCUUGUACCUUGGGGUUAUUUGCAUGAAUUCUAUAUUCAUGCAUCUUCCAAGCCGUUUUUUGACCAGGCCCAAGUAAGAAAUCUAGUGACUUCCGGUAGCCGACGGUAUUGCCAUUGUAAUAAAUCUUCUUGUCUUUGCCGGUGGGUUUCCAAAAUCCACCAUCUCCACAUGAUCGAGAGGGACGGCUGCCUUUGGGGUAUUUGUUCGUCAAAUAGGUGAAGAAGUACCAUCCGUUCACGUUAUGAAAGCUAUCCGAUUUGUAUCUAUCUGCGCAUAUAUAAUCAAAAAAGAAAUAAGCAAAUAUAUAGCAUAGUCAUGCAAUAUUACAACAAAAUAAAGAAAAAGGGGAUCAUAAUUUAUUUAUCAAGGCUGCUUUUAUUCAAAUUUUGUUAGGGACAAAUACCCAUUUUUCAGACAGACAAGAAUGUUAGUUAUUAAAUUAGACACAUAGCCCAAACCCUAAACUAAUCACUUUUACGUACGUGCAUCAAUGAGAAACCCUCUAACCCCAAAUCUCAUCUCUAUGACGAUGGUGUUUUCGUGAUCUAAGGUGGUGGGUAGUAUUUUAGGGUAUCUUUUUGGUCCACCAACUAUUUUUCGUGGAACACAAUUCACAAUAAAAUCCACAAUCGGAAGAAACCAAUCAAAAAACUUGAAAUCAUGAAGCCUAAAGAUGGUUUAAAUUUCAAAGAUUUUGCCUAAUUAAUUGGGGAUUAUGGAAUUAAAAGGGGUUCAAUUAUGCUCUAUCGUUAAACAGCAAACACUUGUACAUAGCAUAUUGUUAUAAGAACAUCAGACUAUGUCAAAUACUUUCCUUCGCAUGGAGUAAAGUUCCCGAAAGGGUUUUCAGAACAUAUUUAUCGAGAAAACGCCUAAAAGAUGUUUUCCGAGUUCUUUAUCCGAAAACUAGAAAAACAGCUGUUAGAAUAACAUAAAGUUUUUUCAAUUGUAUAGAUACUAACUUGUAAGUUCUUGAGGAUUGUGGCCGUAGACAUUGGCUUCAUGAAUUCUGUUAAGUGGUAAUGGAGCCUUGGCGAUCCUUUUCCUCAAGUAGUGUACAAUUAGCUCUUCAUCAGUGGGGCAAAACCUGUAACCGCGUGGCAUAGAAUCCAGAAAAUUCUGUGAAUUUUCGUGGAGAAUUAUGCCUUGCUGAACCGGUUGCUGCUGAUCAUCGAGGAGAUACGGCUGGUGUUGAUGUUGCAGUGGCUGCUGCUGUUGGCCCUGCAAGGGCGGCCAGUGGUGGUGGAGGAGGUGAUCAUGGAGGAGGUAUGGCUGCUCCUCCCUCUGCUGGUGGUGAUUGUCCAUGCUUGUUGAAUGUUGAAGAGGCUUCUUUCGCCGGAGGCGCAGUUACCUAAAAUAAGCGCCAAAUGAGGUAUAUAUAUAUUUUUGUCGUUGGGGUGCCAACCUGGCACUAAAUGUCCGGUACAUCCGUACAAGUGGGGUCGGGUAUAGACUCCAGUUGCAGUACAAUUCUACUUCUUCUUCUACUUCUCCCCGAAUUAUACUCAAUUAUUUUGAAAUUUUGGAUAACAAUAAGAACAUUCUUCCAUGCCGCCUGUCUAUAUAUCAUAAUUUUUAUAAUUUAAUACCUAAGGUAAUAAAGUUUUAAUAAAUUUAUAAUCUAAGACAAAAGAAUAAGAGUUAAAGUUGUCUUAAUGUAGCAUAAUCUUUGAAAAUUAUAGUAAUUUAAUCCAUAUUUGUCGUUCCAUAACUUUUAAAUAUUGUUAGUCCACAUAUAGAUUUAUGAAUUAAUCUUCUAUAUAUUGGCACUUUCGCUAUUGGAUGCGUGAUACACAAUCUGAAUUUAAAUUAAUCCAAAUUUUAUAUAUGUGUCAUGUAUCUAAUCGUGAUAUUGUACACAUUGUUAGUGUAUAUAAGAAUAACUCUAGAUUUAUACAUAUUUUUUUUUCUAACUUAUGGUAUAGGUCCAUACCCGUGUUAUAUCCAUCCCAUAUUUUACUAACUAUGCUUAUCACUUUAUUGUUGAAACUUAACAUCGCACUUGUGAAGCUUACCCAUAAUAUUCAUGAAAAUAAAUUUAAGUUUUUUAUGGACAAAUAGUAUGUAAAUGGCUAAAACUAUAAUUUUAUAAUAAUCUUAAAUUUACAUACCAUAAUCGAGUGUAUAUUGCUUCUUGUUUUGAAAUUUGCACUAACUUCACUAUUCCUAUUAUUGUUAUUGGUAAAAAUGCUUCGAUUUAAAACACAAUAAAAUCAAAUUUUGUGGCCUUUCUAAUAUAGUGGUUAUUUUUACUCGAAAAUUAGUAAAUCUUGCUUACAUUACACAGAUUGUAUGCUUUUUCACCAAUAUAAUCAAAAGAACUUUAUACCUUGACAAAACAAAUAGAAAAAAUGACAACACCAUGAGUAUAAUGGUGAGCAACUGCCAUACAUGUCACAUUAUGAGUUUAGGCAUGAUUUGUAUAAAUAAUAACUAAUCUAAUAAUUGGUUGACAUGCGAUGCAUAUGACAGGUUAGGGGAUUUCAAUUGCAACAUGAAAAUGAAAAUGUGAUUCUUUUUAAAGAAUAUCAAUAGUGGUUUUCUAUAAAUGGAAAUAUAUUGUAGCAUAUACCACUUAUGCAUUGAAGGAAUUUGUAGUUUGAAUCGUAGCAAUUGAGUACCUAUUGCUUUUUAGUUUUUUAAGUACCUAUUAUUUAUUUCAUUACAAAGUUUAAAUAUUUACAUUCAGAUAGAGUAAUGCUAAUGACACUUCAAUUAUUGUUAACGACACUGAGUUUACCUUUAUAAAAGUUGGUCAAGAAAAUGAAGUGUCAAUGACAACAAUUGUUAAACUAAAACAAUUUUCUUUCUUUUGGGAAAAUCAAACUACUUUCCCAAGUAUAUAUUUCACUUUUAUGUUUUAAAAAAUCUCAAUCUGUUAAUUAAAUUCACAAUGUUGCUAUUAUAAAAAAUAUUCCUUCUCAAAUUAACAUGAAUGAGUAGAUGUAAGAUAUAAAUGUGGUAAAAUAUCGCUCAUACACAUGUCAUGGAUUUUUUAAAUUUUCAACAAACAAUGAUUUUGUUGUUAAAAAUAUAACAUGGUAAUCUGUUGUGGUAAUUAUUUUAGGAUUCUUUUGUACAUGAAAUGAAUUUAAUUUAAAUUACACAAUAGAUUAUAUGGGCAUGUGAAUUUUUUUAUUGGUUGAGGUAAUUAAUAUCUUUUUAUUGAACCGUUAGUGGUGAUUGCUAGUCAAGGGUGAAACUACAAUAAAAAAUAAAGUUAGUGAGAAAAGUGCAAAUGGCUAUGGGUUUUAGUGCUUAAAACAAAAAAAAAAAGGAUAAAAUUUUUCUUUUUGAGUUAUAAAGUGUCCUUCCAUGUGAUAGAACUCUCUAUUAAAAUUUGAAACGGUUAAGAAUUCACAAAAUUUUUUAAAUUUUAAUAGUAAGUUUAACUUAAAGAAAAAUAAAUUUUAUCAACCAGCAAAUUUACUGAAAUUGUAAAUUUCCUAUAUGACUAAAACUUACUGUUUUAGGGGAUGUACUUACCAAUUUUCUAAUAAACUUACCAACACUAAUAUUGAUUAUUUAAUACGAUAUUGGAAAAAAUGCUAAAAAACUAAUCUUUUGCCAAAGUUAAUGGAAUCCGGCAGUAGUGCAUUACCCCAUUGUUGUUACUAUUACUUGCAAUACCGUAGCAUUGUCCUUUAAUAGGGACAUGCUGGGAGAUGAAUGGGUCGGAUAGUAAGAAGGGGUGAAUGUAAGUAAGAGAAAUCUCCUAUUUAUAUUUAAGAAAAAAAGUUCACAGUAUAAUGCAAGCUGAAUAGUGAAGUUAAAAAUUUGCUAGAGUGGAGGAUGGGAUUUAAAAUCAUUAUGAAAAAUGUUAUCGAGUCCAUAAUAUUGUUAUUGAAAUCUUAUGAUACGUGUUGCAAGUAAACCAAAAGGGAUGCCAAGAAAAGGUUGUAUAAAAUCCAAAUAAAGAAUGGAGUGUUUAUUAUUAGGUGGAAAUCACACUCCACUACUAAUCAAAACCAGGCCGAUAGUAACGACUUAAAAAAAAUUAAGCUUGAUUUGUAUUUUAAUCAAGAACUCUUUUUUUUGGUAGAAGGUCAAUUGUAAUCCAACUAAACUACUGUGGGAGGCUCCAGACCCACACUGACAACUAUAAAAAAAGGAGGGUUAUUAUCACUUUACCCUCUUAACGUUCAGUGCCACUAUCAAUUGUUUCCUUAACGUUAUUUUAUAGUCAUUUUGCCUCCAAAACUAACGAUCAAAUUUAAUGGAGUAUAUUAAUUAAAGUAAAAAGACAUGUUUAGCCCUUAAAAUUAUUAUCACUUUAUCCCCUUAAACUAUAACCUCAUUAUCAAUUUACUCCAUAGAGUUUUUUUUAAACAAUUUAUCCCACCAUUAAAUUAACUUAGUAAGUUAAAGAAUUUUAGAAGAAAGUACCCUCCUUUUUGUAUGAUAAAAAUAAUAAAAAAUUUAGAGUGACUCUUCUUCUUUUUAGUAUCAAGAAAAAAAAGUCAAAGUGCUAAUCUCUUUCUUCUUGACAAUUUUAUUAAUAUUGAAAAAAAUAGAAAGAUAGGAAGGGGAACGGGGGAGAGAGAGAGCGAGAGAGAGAGAGAGAGAGAGAGAGAGAGAGUUCAAUUCUUUUUUUUAAAUACAAAUAAGAAAGAAUCAAAUACUUUUAUUAUAUAAAAAUUAAGGGUUAAAAACAAAAAAAAACCCCUGUAGUAAGCCUAAUACACAGAAAAGUCCCUUAUGGUUUCAAAAUAUACAACACGACACCUCAUGCUUUGAACUAAAUUGUAAAGGUGACGGAAUUCGUUAAACUUAACGGAAAUGACUUAUUGGAACCUAAAAAAAAAAUUUAUACUUAAUUUUUAUCAAAUAUACCUAUUCUACCCCUUAACUCUCAAUUCUCUCUACUUAGAAAAUAAAACAAAUGAUUUUUUUGAGCUGUCUUUUGUUUAAUUAUAUCAGGGUAUUUUGGUCAUUUUGACCAUUUCCGUUAAGUUUAACGGAUUCCGUCACUUUUACAAUUUAGUUCAAAGCAUGAGGGGUCGUGUUAUAUAUUUUGAAACCAUGGGGGGCUUUUCUGUGUAUUAGGUUUAUCACAGGGGGCUUUUUUGUUUUUUACCCAAAAAUUAAUUCACUUUUCUGUUUACGACCAAAUUCCAAUCCUAAUUCCGACAACCUUAAAGUAAUAUGAUAAUGCUAGACUCUUCUUUAUUUUCUUUCUUUGCAAAAUCUGAUAUUCUGUCUCCUUCUUUCCUAUCUUCUUUUCUUUUCCAAAUAUUAAUAAGUGUGAAAAAAAUUUUGAGAGAAUCAUUUUAUUUUUAUGUUUUUGGAUCUCUUAAAGUAAAAAAAAAAGGAAGAAUAACCUUUUCAAUUUUUUUAUUUUUAAUUAUAUACAAAAAAGAGUAAAUAUAUUAAAAAUUUUUUGACCAUAUUAGUUAGAUUAACGAUGAGAUAAAAUGCCUAGAAAAUAAUGUUAGGAAUUAAAACGACUGUAUCACUAUAAUUUUAAGGGAUAAAGUGAUAAUAAUAAUAAUGUGAUAAUGCUAUAAAAUAACGGAAUAUUUUUGUCUAAAAUUUCUUAACAUGUUGGAUUGAAUUACUUAUAGGGUGAAAUGACUAAAAGAUAAUGUUAGGGGUUAAAUUGAUAGUAGUAAUAUAGUUUAAAGGGAUAAAGCGAUAAUAAUGUGAUAAUGCUAUAAAAUAACGGAAUAUUUUUGUCUAAAAUUUCUUAACAUGUUGGAUUGAAUUACUUAUAGGGUGAAAUGACUAAAAGAUAAUGUUAGGGGUAUAAUUGACAGUAGUAAUAUAGUUUAAAGGGAUAGCGAUAAUAACCCAAAAAAAAUUAAGCUUGGUAUGUAUUUUAAUCAAGAUUUUUGUUGGUAUUUUAAUGCAACUAAACUACUAGGGGAGGCACCUAUUAAAUCUACUAAUGGAGAUUUGAUUGAGGGAUCUGCUUCAGAAAUUUAUACUCAUCACCGUACCCAAGUACGGCCACGUGCUCGCAAUUCUUGGAGUUGGUAUUUUAAGGAUGAUGUUUUUACCCGAUCUUCAACAUCGCCAAAAACUUCUAACCAUAACUAGUAAAAUGCUUUCAUAUCAAUUACGAGAUUAGUUAUCAAUUGGGAUCAAUACGUUGGUUCCUUUACAAUGCCAAUCCCAUGUUUAUUAUUUUGACAUUCAAUUAAUGUCUCACUCAAUAGAUAAGUGAAGCAUAUGAUCUACACAUGCUUAUAUAGUUCAUUAGAAGAUGCCGUUAGAAUAAAGAAACUCAAGAUCCAAUCUCAAGUGCCAAGCAAGACCUUGAAAGUACUUUGGAGGUAUUUGAAUAUCAAGAACUGAAAUAAAAGAAAUGAAGCUUCGUCAUGUGGGAUAUCCAGAGAUUCAAAGUACAUAGUACAAAUCACGCCAACCUAUGAAGACUUCAGUACCCUUUGGAAAUGGAAUUGCAGACUUUAUCACUCAUCUCAACGGCUAGAUUAAUGUCCAAGAUGGGCCUAAUAUUUGUUUUUUGUUUUGGGAACGAGAAAUUGAGACAAUCCGACACACUCAAGCCUGGUUGUAUGGCAUGAUAACAUGUCCCUCUUAUCUAUUCUUAGACCUUCUAACUUAAGUUUUAAAUAUAUGUAUACAUUCUCAUUUGCUUUUAUCCUGCGUCACAUUGGCAGUUUCACUGCUAAAAAUGGCUUCCAUUCUCUCCCUCUGCAUUUUAUUCAUAAUGUGUAUUUACCAAAGCCUUUCUUUCGCGGCUGUUGCGCCAUUUCUUGAUGGUAUGCUUUAAAUAGUCUUUAAUUUUUUUCAUAUAAAAUUGCUAAAUUAACUUUUCUUAGGUACGAGCUAACCCUGGUACAAUUUUUUUUUUUUUUUUUUGGGUUUAUGCCAAAUAAAGUCACUUUACCAUAUCAUUUUUAUGUCAGCACUCAGCACAUGACGGAGCGAAUAUCAAAUCUUACCUAUUAAUUUCACUUGACAUGCAAACAUGAUCCACGUAAAUUGUAGAAAAAUCAAAUGCGCAGCGUUAAUUUUCUCUAACAUGUUCAACAUCAAGAGCAACACGAACCCGUUUGAAUUUUUGAUUUUGAAUCUAAUGGUGUUUGACUUGUCUUUUCGAUACUUGGAAAAGGUUUUUCGCUCUGGACUUCUUUUUAAUCAUUGAUAUGAACUGACCUUCUAUGUACUCUUCCUCUUUAUUAUUAUUUUUUCUGAAAAAUUCGAACAAUGGCAGGAUACAAGAACAAGGAGAAAAAUUUACUCAUAACUGGCAGUAGUAGUAUGUUUUUCUAACCAUAUUCCUGUUUACAUUUUGCAGGUCUACUAGAAAAUGGUAACUUUGAGGAAGGGCCAAAGGUAUCAAACCUUAAGAAAAGACAGAUCAUAGGAAAAUACUCCUUGCCCAAAUGGGAAAUUCAUGGCAUAGUUGAAUAUGUUUCAAGUGGACCGCAACCUGGUGGUUUUUACUUCGCAAUCCCUCGUGGGGCUCAGGCAGCGAGGCUUGGAAAUGAGGCUUCCAUAUCUCAAUAUGUUAAGGUGAAACCUGGAGCAAUGUACUCAUUGACCUUUGCAGUCACCAGGACUUGUGCCCAAGAUGAGAAGCUAAGGGGUUCUGUCCCUGGUUUUUCGACUGAACUCCCAAUUCAAACACUGUUUAGCAGCGAUGGUGGUGAUACUUAUGCAUGGGCUGUUAAGGCAACUUCUGAUGUUUUCAAGGUUACAUUUCAUAAUCCUGGAAUUCAAGAGGAUCCUACCUGUGGACCUCUUCUGGAUGCAAUUGCAAUCAAGGAGAUACUUCCUCUCAGAUACACUAAGGGUAAGUCCUCUUCCAAAUUUGGAAUUUUUUUCCAAUAUCAUCUGCCUCCCAGAUCUUUAAGCAGAUUUGUGAAAGCUCGAUAUUGGCCAGUACAAGAAAAAUGUUAAUGGCACACACUUAUCUGUUAAUGAUACUCCUCUUGACUAUUCUAACGGCAGUUGUAAAUUCAAAGAAAAACAUGGCAAUUUUUAUCUGAUUCAGAUGGCAAAAGGUUGAAAAAAAAAAGGGUGCCGUUCACAGAGAAAGGAGUGCCAUUAACAUUUAUCCCAAAAUAAUUGUCUGAAUUGUUGGGCAAUGGUCGUAAGUUGAUCACAACCCAACUGCCUUUUUUGUUCUUUUUAUUAUUGACUGUUGAUAUUCGUUCACGAAGACACUAUCUUUAAAAUAUAAAUUUGUAGUUUCUUCCAAAUAUAUAGUAAAUGUUAACCAAUGCAAUGUAUAUUUUAUAAUUCAUUGAAAGCUCCUGAUUUGCACUGAAACUAUGCAGGUAACUUGGUCAAAAAUGGUGAUUUUGAAACCGGCCCUCAUGUGUUCAAGAAUUUCUCCACUGGGGUGCUGCUCCUCCCUAAGAGGACGGACAUCUACUCAUCGCUCCCUGGAUGGAUUGUUGAAUCCCUCAAACCAGUUAAGUAUGUUGACUCAAAGCAUUUCUCCGUUCCCCAGGGACUUGCAGCUAUUGAAUUGGUUGGAGGAAGAGGAACAGCUAUUGCACAAAUCAUAAGAACAGUACCUAACAAGUUCUACUUUCUUUCCUUCGCUUUUGGGGAUGCUAGGAAUGGUUGUCAUGGAUCAAUGACGAUUGAAGCUUUUGCAGCUAGGAAAACCAUAAAACUUUCAUUUACAUCAACUGGAAUUGGUGGAUCCAAGACUGCCAUCCUCAUGUUUCAAGCACUUUCAAACAGAACAAGAAUAACUUUUUAUAGCCCAAAUUAUCACACAAAGCUUCAUGACUAUGGUCACAUAUAUAUGUGGUCCUGUUUUGGAUGAUGUUAAAGUGUUUCCUCUCAAAUAGUCACUGUUAGAGUGAAGAUCAAAGAGAGUGAUCAAAAAGCAACAUAGUUUUGGAAGCUUUUUCUUUUCUUUUCUUUUCUUUUUUGUUAGUUCAAGGAAUUGCUGUAUGGGUCACAUUGGUGCUUUAAGCUGCAGGAGGUAAUUAGUUUAUGAGAUCUGCCUUUUUGGUUUUGCUUGUGAUCACGUUUCAAAAUCAUUUCCCCACAACUAUCAAACGGAGACGGAAAUUAAUUAAUAAAAAAUGAAUUCGUAAUCUGUUUUAAACUGAACAUUACUAAUAAAAGUUUGUUAUCAAUUAGUAAUACUGCUAUAAGAUUACUCUAAUUGAGGGAAGCUUAUUAUAGAUGAACCUCAUAUCCUAACUUCAUUUAAGUAUUUUUUUUUCUUGCUGAGAGGAUAUUAGUGAACAAUCAGGUACGACAAGAGCAUUUCUAAUACUGCAACCUUCAUCAGAUUUCCAUUGAUUUUAAUUUUUUUCUAUUACACAUAAAAUCAGAUGCUUGCAUAUAGUAAUAAUGUCUUCAUUGUUUCCCUAAAUUCAAUGAACUCAAUAACAUGGAAAACGGAAUACUGUUUAGAUGGAACAAAGUGUUGCUAAAAUUCCAGAGCUUUCUAUUGGGUCUAUAGAAUUGUCUGUGUUAUAAUGACUUUUUUCCCCAUAUCAUGAUAAGUUGUUAGCAUUUAGAAAAGGAUUAACUGCAUGGAGAUUUACUAAUUACACUGAAAACCCUAUCUCUUUGCAAGUCAAGGAGAUUUUGCUGCUGAUAUGGGCCGUCUCGUGUCAAAAUGAUAUUUUAAUUCCUUUCAUAUCAGUUUCACUAGGUAAGUUAUCUAAUGGAAGAUCGACUUUUUUCUUGCAAUGAGAUCAGGUGUCUUGACAUGUUCAGUUUAAGUUUCUGUUUCAUAAGUUAAGCACAUGAUCGAUCAGGGCACAUGACAAUGCAUUUAUUUGGUUGAAUUGCAGUUUGUAAAUCAGAGAAUUCAGUGGAAGUUUCCAUCCAACAACAUAUGAUGCAAGUUAAUUUAAUCAUCCCGUACACAUCAAAACUUUCAUUUAGAAGUCAUCUUCCAAUCUAAACAUGACAUGUAUGAAUCCAAGGUAGAGAAGCCAAGAAGAUCUUGAAUGUGGAGGAGGCUCUUGGAUGUCCAAGAAACUAAACAGCAAUAUAAAAUAGAGGUCUAGGAGGCAAACAUCAGAUGUAAUUAAAGAAAGGAGGUUUCAUUGAAGGCUAGCUAGUUAUUGUAAAACCACUAGAUUAAUUAGUGUGUAAAACAGGUCGAUUUUCCGAGCAAAUACUUGAGACAGUUGGCCACAUCCUCCGCCUAGUUUCAUGGCUACAGCCAAGAAUACCGUCCAAACAAUUCAUUGGACAUUGUUAUAUACAACCCUAGUUCCUCUUUAGCUUCCAUUCUUUAUUGUAUAAAUUUUUGCAGAAAAUGGCUCCCUUUCAAACUCUCUGCAUUUUGUUCAUCUUUUCUAUUUGCGGAAGCUUUUCGUUCGCUGCAGUCACCCUAUUUCUUGAUGGUAUGCUCGAACCUCUCUCGCUAUUUCUCAACAAGUAACUUGCCAAGUCUACAUCACUAGAUAAUCAAGAUUUUGCCUCAGGUUCUUUUUCAUGUAUAUAUACCCAAAAGCUAAAGAAUGAGUGGAAAAUUUCACUUGCGGCAAUUAAUACAAAUUAUGCUAAUCGUACAUGUCUGUCUAUUAAUUUGCAGGUCUACUAGAAAUCGGUAACUUUGAAGAAGGACCAAAGGCAUCAAAUCUAAAGAAAACAGUGAUCAUAGGAAAACACUCCUUGCCCAAAUGGGAGAUUGAUGGUAUAGUUGAGUACGUCUCAGGUGGACCACAACCUGGUGGUUUUCGCUUUGCAAUUCCUCGUGGGGCUCAUGCAGUGAGGCUUGGAAAUGAAGCUGCCAUAUCUCAGCAUGUCAAGGUGAAACCUAGAGCAAUCUAUUCUUUGACCUUUUCAGCCACCAGGACUUGUGCCCAAGAUGAGGUGCUAAGGGGUUCUGUCCCUGGAUUCUCAAGUCAACUUCCCAUCCAGACAUUGUACAGCAGCGAUGGUGAUGAUACUUAUGCCUGGGCUUUUAAGGCUGCUUCUGAUGUUGUUAAGGUCACAUUUCAUAACCCGGGGGUUCAAGAGGAUCCAACCUGCGGACCUCUCCUGGAUGCUGUUGCCAUCAAGGAGAUAUUAAGCAAUGGGCACACUAGGGGUAAGUCCUCCUUUCCAAAUUAUGCUUAAUAUUAUUAGUAGGCUACCUUCAUAUUCUUCAUUCUUCACCUUCUAGUCAUUUUUUACAAAUGGUAAAAUUGGGCCUCAGUAUUCGUAAAUGUUCUGAUUCUCAGUUCUAAUUCCAAAACUACAACUUUCUGGGGGAUAUAACAAAUUAGGAUCUGAUCUAACGGUGGACCAAAUAUUAAAUGACAAUAAUAGUAUACUUUUAAUUAGACGGUAGAAAUGUCGAUGCAAUAUUUUUCUACAAUCAUCUAAAAUUUGGUCGCAAAUAAGUAGAGUCCAUGUAAACAUUUCCCUUCUUGUUUUAUCUUAAGAAAAGAAGAAGUAAGAUCCUUUAAAUGCACAAACAGUGACUGAUUGUGUAAUUACUUCUGCAAAAUGUGUUGCAGGUAACUUGGUAAGAAAUGGUGGAUUCGAAAACGGCCCUCAUGUAUUCAAGAAUUUCUCGACUGGGGUUCUACUCCUUCCAAUGACGUCUGACUCUUACUCAACAGUCCCCGGGUGGAUUGUCCAACACCUCAAACCUGUUAAAUACAUCGAUUCCAAGCAUUUCUUUGUUCCACAAGGAAAUGCGGCCAUUGAAUUGAUUGGAGGAAGGGAAACUGCAAUAGCACAGAUUAUAAGAACAGUGGUUAACAAGUUCUACCUCCUUUCGUUCACGAUUGCUGAUGCAAAGAACGGUUGUCAUGGAGAGAUGAUGGUUGAAGCUUAUGCAGCAAAGCAAACUCUGAAAGUUCCAUUCAGAUCUACUGGAACCAUGGUUCAAAGUCACGGUUGCGGUCGCGGUCGCGGCCCGGAACGUUCCACAUCGGUUUCGGCAUAUCGGUCGCGGUCUCGGUGAGACGCAAAUUUUAAAGUAUUUAAUAUUCUAAAAAUUGUUAAUAAUAUAAAAAAGUAUGCUAAAUAAAAAUAAUUAAAAAUAGCAAAAGAAACAGCCAUGUCAAUCCGUCGCGGUGUGACUCGGCUGAUUUCUCGUCUUGACUCGGGAUAACUCGGAGUGACUUGGUGUGACUUGACCGAGUCAAUCUGUCGUGUGACGACUCGGCCGAUUUCUCGACGAGUCAAGUAUUUCGGUAUCGUUUCGUCACGGUAUCGUAUCGGUAGGGGUCGAGACGGUGACGACUCUGCCGAGUCGUCUCGGUCUCUGCCGAGACUUCGAACCACUCAGCCGAGACUUCGAACCAUGACUGGAACUGGUGGAUCUAAGAGAGCAAGAUUCAAAUUCCAAGCAAUUUACAACAGAACAAUGAUAAGUUUUUACAGCCCAUUUUAUCACAUGAACAUUCAUGACUAUGGUCAAAGAUGCGGUCCUUUCCUGGAUGAUGUUAAAGUGUUCCCUUUCAAAUAGUCAUUUGCAAGCAGAUGAACACUGAACAACUGCAAGGGCAACAAAUUUUCUCUUUCAUAUAGGCUCCUUUUUAUCGUCACUUGGGAACAAAUUAAGCACAAUUCUUAUGCUCAUGUUGGUGUUUAACCUGAAGAUCACUGCUUCACAUGCUUUGUCUUGUUCAUUUUUUUCUUUUCUUUUACCCAAUUUACGAAUGACAACCCUUUCCAUUAAAAUUCUUUCUUUACCAUAUCAUGCAACAAGAGGCAUAGCAAUCCUGAUAUUUACUGUUCUCUUUUCUCGUUUGCGGAAGUUUCUUUGCAUCAUCUUCAUGGUAUUAAACCGAAUUAAGUUUAGGUAACGUUAAGAGUAAAGCCAAAAACGUUGAAAUUAUUCUUUAACUGGCAACUUCAUAACGAGUUACACAAGGGAAAAGAAAACUCAUUAAACCACAAUCUAUUAUAAAAAGGGUAAACACAUAUAACAGCAUAUAAUUUUGCUUAUUGUCACAUGACCUCUUUAAGGUUUCAAAUAACCAUAUAAUUCUCUUGUAGCUUUAUGUGGAGCAAAAAAUGGACAGAAAGCAUCAUCGGUUAUGCACUUGAACUAGACAUGCUUAAAAAAUGCAUAUGAUGGAAUUAUAAUAUUUACUUAACUCUCUUAUGAUUUACAUGAAUAUCCACUUUACCUUCUUGUAUUUUUACAUUUAUCCAUAUAAUUCUUCUAUAAUUUUAUACAAGAUGGUUAGGCCAUUGUUCGUUUUAAUACUCAAGCAAGGGCAAUUUAGGUAUUUCAUUUAAAGAUGCUAUAGAGACUAUUUUUCAUCAAAUUUCCACUUUACAUAAAACUAUGAGAUGUAAAGCAGAUGUUUUGAAAUAUUAGAGAGAAUAUGUAGCAAUAAGUGAAACUACAAAAGGAUUAUUUGUAAUUUAUCCUAAAAAAAUGCAUUGCUCUUCUUUCCCGUGCUCAAGCUCUCAUUCACCCUUUAUUACUCUGCUGAAACCUCAUGGUAAAACUCAUCUUCGUUAAAUUCGAACCCUCAAAAUUUAAUUGUUUGUCAUAACACAAAAAUUAUUUUUGUGUGUAGUGUUUAAUUGUGAGUUAUCAGGCUAAUUCUCUGGGAGAGUAGGCUGUGCCUACUAAUAUUUUUCUGGAUAAGUUAUUGAAGUUCUAAAUAAAAGAAGAAAAUGGUCAAUAGCCUAUCAACUAAUGUUCGACUCCAGUUCAAAAGUUUAAUAAUUUUUUUUAUUUUAGUAUUAAUAAUUUUGAAUAAAACUAAAAUAUUUAUUUUGGAAAACAAAUACUUAAUUAAAACUAGCUGAACCUCUAGGUUGUUAUCGGUUCAACUGAUUCUUGAUCGAUUUUGACCUGUUCAAUUAAUUCUUUGACUUUUUAAUUGAAUCAGACCGAAGGCAUGAUCUGUUCGCGGUUCAAUCGAUCAAAUUGGACGGUCCGGUCUAAUUUUCAAAACAUUGGUGUGAUUUAGUACCAACAACAGGAUAAUGAUACAAUCUUUCCCACAAACAAUUCCAAGGUUAGAUUUCAAAUAUUGCUGCAUAAGCAAUCAUGCUGACUUGAGCUCAAACCAAUUCAGUGUCCAAUUUAUCCUAAAUUAUAACCUGCUACUUUGAAACCAUUUUAGACCUUUCUACGAACUGAUGCUCUCGAGGGCUCUCUUACUUCUUCUUGUGUAAGGUGAGGAAUGAAAUACAAGAGAAUUACAGACCUCGAACAACUUCUUUCAAAUAAAAUUUUUGAUUUGGAAAACAAUAACUUUAGAGCAAUCACUCCAAGGUCCAUCGGAUAUAUGAAAUAUUUGCGGUUUUACACUUGUGAAGCAAUAGUCUCCCUGAUGGGAUACGUUCGUUUCUAAAGAAUUGCACAAAUUUGUUAGAAAUGACCUUGCAGGGAAAAAAAAUUUUGUUAAUAAAAUUCCACUUUUAAAUUGUGAGAUCUAUAUUAAUGACAAAAAAUACAUCAUUCAAUAUGUCACAGAAACAACAAAUUUGAAACAGCUAUGAAUACACUAGAUUUGAAAAAUUUACAAAUAUUAUAUUGUAAAUUCCUAAUCUAUUCUAAAUUAUAUCAAUUUCUUUGAACCCAACGAGCAUUUGUGCAUGUUUUCUCUUGCCAGAUAUGUAGUUUAACUUCUUCAAGUCCAUUUACCAAGUUGAAAUUUGACAAAAUAGAUUCAAAUUUUCAGAUUUGACAAAUAGAUCUGAAAAUUUUGACAUUUGACAAAGAAAAAAAUUACAAAAAAUUUAAACUAAAAUAAAAUUAUCAUUAGAAAUCCUAAGAGAUAAAAAGCUAGGCCUUGUUUGAUAACUCAAUUCAUCACUUAAAUUUAAUGGAUUCAGAUAGUUUAAUAACAUAAAAUUGAACGUCUGAAUUAAUUAAAUGACAUUGAAUAUAUUUCUUAGGCAAAAUUUGUUUCCAAAAUUAAGUGAUAAGUGAUAUGCACUCAAAUGUAUUAGAUUUAAUACUUAAUAAUUCAAUAACUUAAUAGAUUCAGAUUUCAAAUUUCAGAUUUCGAACUUCAGUUUUCAGAUUUCAAUUUUAUCAAACGCACCAUUAGUUGAGAAAAUACCGAAUUGAUUUGAUUAUCUUUUAUUAAUUUGAGGAUUCUCAUUUUACAUUCCAACAAGUUUCAGGGUGAACUUCCCCUAGAACUGUGCCACUUGAAUUCUCUUCCAGUCAUAGAUUUUCCAACUAACAACAUUUUAGGUGCAAAUCAAUUUUUAAAAAAAACAUUCAAUUAUUAUUGACCUUGCAUCGUAAACUUAAUUUUUAGUCAUUUUUUUAUUUCACAUAUAUUAUAUAACAACAAGUAUUAUUUCAAAUAAUUUUUUUCAAAUAAUCUCUUAUCCAAACACACCAAUUGGAUAGCCGAAACACGCCAAUUGGAUCUCCUGUGAUGUGCUUUUUUACGUCCUAUUCAAAAAAUCUCCUAGCCAAACACACCGACUGUGAUAUUAUCACCCCCCCCCCCCCCAACGAAUUGGGCAACCAAGGGAAAUGAGUACGAACAUGGCAUUGUUCUUCAAUAGUAUUAACCUCUCAAUUGAUCACUUUUGUGGUAUCGUCCCUGACCUGACGAAUUGACUUCACUUUCGAAAUUGAUAUCUUUGAACUUGUCUGGCAAUCAAUUGAGAUGAAUGAUUCAGUCAUUUCAACGCAAAAUUUGUUUGAUAUAAUCCUAAUCUCCUCCACCACUCACCAGCAUCUUGGGAAUGAUUCCUCGUCCUGGAAACUCAACUGGUUGAAGUCUUUUAAAAGCCUCUUCAAUUGCUGUAUUGGCGGAACUAUAGGGGCAGCCAAAAAAAAAAAUUUCUGAUGAAAAGUCAAAUGGUGGAAAUGUUCUUAAAGCUAAUGAAUUGCAUUAUUGGCCGAUCUGCAGGGGCGGAAGGGGCAGCUUCCCCCGACCCUCCCCCAUGAAUUUUUUUAAAAUAUAUAUAUGUAAUAGGUAAUUUGAUUUGAAAAAUUGUAUGGUUUAUAUUUUGGAAUAAAUUUUUAUACAUUAAUACUGCAUACACUAUCAUCAUUAGAUACCUGAUAAUUAAAUUGAAUUCAAAUCAAAUUUUACACAGUGUCAUGCAUCUAACACAGUCAGUCAGUAUCUAAGAUUAACGUAUAUUUUUAGUCGAUGCCUACGAAUACACAUACAAUAGUCCGGAACCAAACUACAUUGUUAGAUAUCUCCUAUAUGUACUACCCAAAAAAUUUUCACGCAAAGUCGCCUUUGCCAAAUCUAGAGGGUCAUAAAAGGAGGUCAUCCGUGAUUGUAAAUUCAGGCUAAAUUUUCUCAAAACAUCCACACAUGAGUUGUCUUCCCUCUAAAAAUGAGAAACAGUACAUUCCCAACCGCUACAUAGGUUUCCGAGAGGAGUGCCGCGCUUAUCCAAUAAAUUAAUAAAAAAGAAUUAAAAAAACAAAUACAAGGGCGAACACAAAUUUCUUAGUCUCUCUAGUUAAUUCAUCUCUUUCUUUAUCGUAUUUAUUAGGUACAGAAAAAUAAAUAAGAAACUCUUUUAACUUUUUUUUCUCACAAAUCACUUCAUUUUUGUAACAUUCGUACAAAAUCUUCAGUGUUUUUGUGGGAAAAAUUCAUUUUUUUUCAAGUUUUAUACAACAAAGAAAAGCAAGAACAAUUCUCAAUAAUUUUUGGCUUAUUGACUUGCGCUCUAAAUUCAAGUAAAUUACUAUAUUAUAUUGUACUUAAAAAGUUUGCCUUAUAUUUUCUGAUACUAGUACUUUAAUCUGUCGAUUUAUUCUUUAUUGAAGAUGCUACUUUAUAUGCAAUUGAUGAUAUUUGUUUGGCAUACUAAUUAUCAGCUCUUUAUUUAGUACAGAUCUUAUAUUUUCUGUUACUUGUACUUUAAUCCGCUGAUUUAUUCUUUACUAAAGAUGCUAUUUUAUAUACCUUCAAACAAAAAGAUGCUAUUUUAUAUGCAAUUGACGAUAUUUGUUUGACAUACUAAUUAUCAACUCUUUAUUUAGUAAAGAUUUUUUUUAUAGGCAAUAAAGUUUGUUCCACAUAGUUGAAGGAUCUUUUUUUAGGCAACAUUUUACAUAAUUGAAGUUGAUUUGCAAAUGCGUGUCAGUGUAGUUAGUUUUAAUCGAACUAUGAGGAGAUUAUAUAUAGUUUUUAAAAUUAUAGGAGUUUACGUGAAAAUUCAUUAAACUACUGGGGAUAAAGUGUAUUUUACUCAAUUCUUGAAUAAGUUAGUAUCAGCUUCACCCACGAAGUCAAAAUCCUGAAUCCCCGGUGGCUAUAUAUAGUUCAAGCAGUUUCACGUAUGGAAGGCUUUUUACUAUCUAAAUCGCCUUUUUUAACAAUUCAAAGUCCAAAGUAUCUGUAGUACGAUGAAUUCUGGUUCCGGCAAGCCAAUAUUUGCGGUAGCUGCCCAGCUUCCCAGGUUUCUUCUAAUCAUGACAGUAGCUUUACUCAGCUGUUGCUAUGAAAAUGAAGCUGGUGCCUGCAUAGCCUACGAGAAACAAGCUCUUCUGAGCUUCAAGAAAGACUUGAUAGAUCCCUCGAGUCGACUCUCCUCAUGGACUGCUCCCGAUGCUGAUUGCUGCAAAUGGGAAGGCAUUGUCUGCGAUAACAUCACCGACCAUGUGACCGAACUUUACCUUCGACAUCCCAAUGGAAGCAAUCUCUGGAAUCAGUAUGGUCCUAGUUACUUUGAUAUGUUUGCCUUCAGAGGCAAACUAAAUCCCUCUUUGCUCAACCUGAAACAACUUCGAUUUGAGCCUAAAUGACUUUGGAGGAGUCCCGAUCCCAAGUUUUAUAGGGUCUCUCAAAAGUAUCGAGUAUCUCAAUUUGUCAUAUGGAGGAUUUGGAGGAAUCGUCCCACCUCAGCUUCGAAAUUUGUCAAAUUUACACACUCUAAGUAUGGGAGGGUUGUAUGUGCUUCAGGAUGACAAUCUGCAAUGGUUGGCCGGUCUUUUCAAUCUGGAGCACCUGGAUAUGACUUCUGUGAAUCUCCGCGGAGCAUCUAAUUGGGCACAGGUGAUUAAUACGAUUCCUUCAUUGGUAGAGGAACACUUUGUUGCGGAAGCCCUACCAAAGUUAAGGUAUAACGAGUAAAUUAUUGUACCUAAAAUUGCAAAAAUGGUAAUUCCCAGGAAAUAUUUGGUGAGGCACACUGGCCUGCUUAAGUACCAAUUUCCUAGACAGAAUCACCUAUAUAUGCACCUAAUUGCACAAUAACUCACUACAAAUAUACCUACAAAUAUAGCUACUAAAUAGACAAUAAAAUAGAACACCAGAAUUUAACGAGGUUCGGCUAAUUUGCCUACGUCCUCGGACACUACCGACAAUUUAAUAUUUCACUAGAAGAAAUAUUACAAAGAGAGAGAAGAAAGCAAGUUAUUGGCUCUUGCUUGGUGUGUCUAAUCCUAUCAAAUGAUGCUCCUAUUUAUAGUUUACAAAUGAUAGGAUUCCUAACAAAACUACCGAUGUGGGAUUUAGAAACUUAGGCCAAAGAUUUCAAAGUCCUCAAUUUUGGCUUGAAAAAGUCAUCAAUUGAGGCUUGGCUUUGAAUUCAACAAAUCUCCACCUUGGCAUAAUUUCUAAUCCCACCAAAAAUAAAAAUUUUUUUUUUCCCUCAAAUUCGGUGGUGUCUUCAAAUGCGUUGUCAAGCGCCAAUCUUCAAGUUGUGCACAACAUUUAUCAAAUUCAAACAAUGUUGGAAUUUGAUAGUUGUCACAACCUUCGUAAGCAUAUCAGCAGGAUUCUCCUUGGUCUGAAUCUUUUGAAGUAGUAUCGUACUAUCUUCCAAAAUCUUCCUCACAAAAUGAUACCGUACGUCGAUAUGCUUCGUCCUUGCAUGAUAAACUUGGUUCUUUGCUAAAUGAAUAGCACUCUGACUAUCACAAUGAACUUUGAUAGACUUCUGUCCAAUUCCCAAUUCAUCAAGCAAUCCAUGAAGCCAAAUUGCUUCCUUAACAGCUUCCGUAACUGCCAUAUACUCCGCCUCUGUAGUAGACAAAGCAACUGUUGACUGUAAGGUAGACCUCCAACUGACUGGUGCCUUAGCAAGUGUAAAAACAUACCCAGUCGUUGAUCGACGUGUAUCUUGAUCUCCUGCGUAGUCGGAAUCACAAUAUCCAACUACGCCUUGACCAAUCUUCUCAUCCCGCUCAAAUACUAAUCCAACAUCUACGGUGUUCAAAAUAUACCGUAAAAUCCAUUUCACAGCUUGCCAAUGCUCCUUGCCAGGAUCAUGCAUGUACCUGCUCACACACUUGUCCUACUGUCAACUUGACCGUAUUUCUCCCCUAAUGGAAACCAAUCUUUCUUCUCUUACUGUCCUUGAUCUUUCACACAAUGGAAUAUCCUUCCUGCCCAGAUGGAUAUUUAGUCUUGGUGCGCUAGUCUCCCUUGAUUUGGGAUACAAUCAAUUUCAGGCGCCAUGGCCAGAAGGUCCCUGGAACUUGACUUCUCUCCAAUUCUCGCAUUUGCCUCAAAACAUCCUAAAUGGGUCAUUACCCCUGGAGAUUUUAGAUCUAAGUACUCUCGUUUUACUUGAUUUAUCCAAGAACGAGAUCGUCGUAGCAACCUGACAAACCUCCAUCAUUUUGACAUGUCGGACAACAAGCUGAAUUCCAGCAUACCUAGCUGGUUGUACGAGUCCAGACAGAUAAAUUUUCUGAAUCUUGCGCGAAACUGGCUGCAAGGUGUAAUCUUGGAAGACAUAGCAAACCUGAGCUCCAUAGUCUCGCUGGACUUGACUGCCAAUCAACUUACGGGAACAAUAACUAAGAAGAUAUAGGAAACCCGUGCAACAUAAGUUUCAUAAGUAUGUCAAAAAACAAACUCGAGGGACGAAUAUCAGAUUUGAUUGAUGGUAUGUCGGUCUGCUCUUCUUAUGUUCUCAAAUCCUUAUAUCUGGACAAUAAUCAGCUCUCUGGCCAAUUAACUGAUAAUCUUGGAUAUUUUCAAAUGUUGAGCAGCGUAACCUUGGUUCCAACUCCAUAUCUGGUCCAAUCCCUUCCAACAUAGGGGUCUUGUCCUUCUUGGAAACAAUGCUUUUGGGAGAUAACCAAAUAAAUGGAACUCUCCCUCCUAGUCUUGGAAAACUUUUCAGGGUAAAAGAGUUAGACAUUUCUCGAAAUAUGAUGGAAGGCAUUGUGACUCAGAGUCAAUUUGAGAAUCUCACCAACAUAAGGUACUUGAAGGCGCCUGGAAAUUCCUUGACUUUAGAAGUAGAUCCCAGUUGGGUUUCUCUGGCCCAGUUUUUAUAUCUUGAUUUGAGUUAUUGGAAAUUAGGUCCUCAGUUUCCCAACUGGCUCCGUUUACAAAAGGAGAUAAAUUUUCUGGAUUUAUCCUCUACUGGAAUCUCAGGUGCUAUUCCUCCGUGGCUUUGGAACAUGAGUACAGCAUUUGAUUACUUGGAUCUUUCCUAUAACCAGCUAAGUGGUGGUAUUUCAAAUAUUUGCUGUAUAAAUAAAGUGCACCUGAGCUCAAACCAAUUCAGUGGCCCAUUACCUUCUACAACUCCUGAUCGCCUGUUUACUUUAGACCUCUCCAAUAAUUCCAUUUCUGGAGGUCUCUCUCACUUCUGUGUCAUGGAGUUCGCCCAAAUGGAAAAAGAACGAUAGAGGUUCUUGAUCUUGGAGAAAAUCUUCUUUUGGGUGAAAUUCCUCAUUGUUGGAUGAAUUGGACAGUUCUAGGCUUCAUUAGUUUGUCAAACAAUAAUCUAAGUGGAAGUAUCCCAAUGUCCAUCGGAUAUUUAAGUACUCUGCUCUCUUUGCACUUGCGCAACAACAAUCUCUCUGGUGACAUACCUUCUUCCCUGGAGAAUUGUACAGAACUAAUUACAAUUGACGUUGCAGGAAACAAAUUAGGGGGGAAGUUACCAACUUAGCUGGGUCCAAGUCUUUCCAAAUUGAGGAUUCUCAUCCUGCGCUCUAACAAGUUUAAUGGUGAAAUUCCUCCUGAACUAUGCCACCUGUCUUCCCUGCGAGCCUUAGAUGUUUCCAACAACGAUUUUGUGGGUGUGAUCCCGAGUCGUUUCAAGAACAUUACCUCCAUGGCAACAGAAGAGAGCGUUUACUUGCGCAAUAAUGAGACAACUUACUUCUAUUCUGGUUACCCAGAGAGUGUGCAUUUGGCAAUUAAAGGAAAUGCAUACGAAUAUAACUGGAUUCUUGGACUUUUCUGCAGCAUUGACCUCUCAAACAACAAUUUUUCUGCUCAAGAUCCCUCUUGAACUAACCAAUCUUUUGGGGUUGAAAUCGUUGAAUCUGUCCGGCAAUCAACUGGGAGGAACGAUUUCAAGCAACAUCGGCCAAAUGGGACGACUAGAAUCUCUUGAUCUAUCAAGAAAUCAUCUCUCAGGGACAAUUCCUUCUAGCAUUUCAAAACUAUGCUCCUUGGGUUUCUUGAAUUUGUCUUUCAAUAACUUGUCAGGGAAAAUUCCAUCAAGCACGCAAACGCUAAGUUUUGAUGCUUCUUCCUUUGCUGGUAACCAACUUUGCGGCCGCCCCCUGACAGUGAAUUGUGGCAGCAGCAGCACUGAUGGUGUGACUGUAAUCAAGGAAGAAAGUGUCGAAACUGCUGUGGAUUAUUGGCUUUAUAUCUGCAUUGGUGUGGGGUUUGUGAUCGGCUUUUGGGCUGUUUCUUUUACUCUAAUACUGAAGAAGUCAUGGAGAUACAGGUUUGUGGAUGAAGCUUGGUACAGGUUACAGGAAUAAAAUAGCAAACAACUGUCUUGUGACCUGCAUCAUGAUGUAAACGAGUUGGUCCGCUAUUUAUAUAUUUUCUCAUACCCAAUUUACAGAUUGAUUACCCCUCUCCAGUAAUAAAAAUGUUUCUUAACCAUGUCAUGCAAUAAGAGGCCACUCUUCCAGUUUGUGACAUUUAUACAUCCCCUUUCUCAUUUUCAAAAGUUUUAUUCCACUACAUUCAUGAUAUUGGCUUGUUGACAGAUUUCAAGAACACGGUUUGACUAAGUAGGAAAAAAAAUUGAGACAUAAAAUUAUGAAAUUUCAGACAAUGGAUUUUUGACAUUUUUGUGUCUACGGAGGAAGAAGUAAAACAAGAAAUUAGAGCCACCAUCCAUGCAAAUUAUGUUAGUCUCCAUAUAUUAUUGAUAAAUUUUUAGUUUUACCCCCAUUAAAUUUUUGAAAACUAUCCCCAAUGCAAAUUAUGUUAGCCUCCAUAUACAAAUUAUGUUAUUACACGUCCUUGAAUCAAUCAAAACCAUUAAAAUCUCAUAAGCCAACAAAGAAAGAGCAGAGUGCAAUGAGAUCUCUAGAUGUGGUGAUGAUUAUCUUGGGAGAAGUUGUUCUUGUGUGCACUGGCAAAUGCAAGGGGACUAGGAGUGAGGGAUUGGCAAGCAAGAUUUUGGAAAUUCUUUCUGUAUCCUAUAAAAAUGUGCAAAUCUUUGAAAAGAAAUUUGUGAAUCUUCUACAUAUAUCUUUUUAGAAAUUAGGUUUUUGCCCCUCCAAAAUUUUAAAAGUCCUUUUAUAUCCUAUUAAAAUAUUAAAAGUUUCACUUAUAUUCUUGUAAAUAUUAUACUUCGUCCUCCAAAGUUUUAUCAAAAAAUAUGAGAAUGCCUCUCAAGCAUACAUCUUGCCCCUCAAAUCCCAAGCCCUGGUCCCGCUAGUGCUUCUGUACACAUUAAGUAUCAUCAUAAUUCCUAGCUACGUCAAGCCAUUUAAUUUUGACUGCCGUCUUUCUUGUUCUAAUUUUCACCGCUGGCAUCCCAUUAUCACGGAUUGCUGAUUCCUGCUCUUGCAAGUUAAGCUCAAGCAUGUAUAUCGCAAAGCCAACAGAUGGACAGAUGCACUAGCAAAGUUAGGUUGCAAUCUGGAUAAGCCUUCUGUGAUUUUUGAAUCAUGUCCUCCUGAAAUUUCUUUUGUUUUUGAUGAGGACAAACAGAGGGUCUGCUUUCCCCGCUAGCUUUAGGUUGAAUUGUAAUAAUAGCUUAGUGACAACUUUGUACUUCUGGUUAAUUUAUGCAAUCAUCUAUUUACCAAAAAAAUGUGGGCAAAUUCCACUUUACACCCCCUAUGGCUUAGCAUUUUUUUACAUAACCUCCCUAUGGUUUCAAAAGUUAUACAUAAUUUCCUCAUGAUUUGGAUUAAAGUAUCAAAGUGACGGGAAUGAUCAUUCGUAACGGAAUCAUCUACAAUGUCAAAAAUACCCUUAGGUAAAGUUGAAAAUUAUUUAUUAACCAAGGGGAGUUAUGUGUAUAUUUUGAAAACUAUAAGGAGGUUAUACGGUAAAACAUAAAAACCAUACGGGAUUAGUGUGUUAUGUAUUUAUAAGGGUAAAAAUUUCAACAUUUUUAGAAGUUCUGUUACGAAUGACUAUUUCUGUCACUUUGACAUUUUAAUUCAAAUCAUGAGGAGGUUAUGCAUAACUUUUGAAACUAUAGGGAAUUAUAUAAACAAAUACUAAAUCACAGGGGGGUAAACUAUAAUUUGCCAAACAAAUGUAGACAUGGUGAUUCUGUCAAUUUCAGGCACCUGAAAGUCUCUUGUCUUCGUUUAAGUCAAGUCUACUUCGCUUUUAAUGCCACAAGAAAAAUUGCAAAGUGAACAACUAAUAAUUUGAGAAUUUUUACGCGUUAAAGGAAUUUAAGUGCCCUAUGUGUUUUCGAUUCCGGAUCAUAACAUAGCAGUUUCAUAACAUUGUACAGAUUUCCCAAUAGAUCAAUGUUAUGGACUAUCAGUCUAUCACCAAUCAUGCACACAAUGUUGUUGUAUUCGCGAAAAUUUUUGAUACAUAUGAAUAAAACUUUUCAUAUAUAUUUGAUAUAAUAAUAUAUAAUGUUAUAACAAAUUCAUCAACCGAAUGAAACUGGACAAAACCCAAUGGCUCUGAGUCCAUGACUUGUAUACAACAACCUAUUUGCGAACUUCUUAAAUUUUAAAAAUUUCCAAUUUGACUCGGCACAUUCUAAUCAAGGCUUUCGAAGACCAAGACCUCAAAUUUCCAAGUAAAACAAGAAGAAUUUGAAAAAGGAUACAAGUUUUCCAUAAUUAUAAGCCAAGAAUUAAUGCAUCAAUGGUAAUUAAAAUUUUUGGCAAGCGAUAGAGAAAGUACUACUAUUAGCUGCUAAUUAAAGCAAAAUUUUGAUUGAUGGACAAAUUCAGUCAUCCUUAGUCAAUGGCAUUAAUUCAAGCUGGAAAAUUUCCACUCAACUUUCUUCCCAACAAACGAAUAUGUCUCUCUUUCCUCCACUUCUCACAGAUAGUUUUCCAAAUUCAAUUCUACCCACUCGAGAAUUUAAGACAUACUAAUUUCCACCGGCAGCUUCGAAGAAAUGCUAAUUUCCACCAGCAGCCUCGAAGUCAUGCGUAGACCUGGUCCUUGUCCUGGAAAGAGCAGAGUACUGGCAGAAACCUUUGUGCAUCCUAAUGAACUGCUAUAUAAACAUAAUGGUUCAAGCAGAUUUAACUUUUACGUACAGCUGGGAUUUCACAUUUCUACAAAAUAAAUCUCCUUUGUAACACUUCAAAGUAUCUGUAAUACAAUGAAUUUUAGAUCGGACGGGCCAAUAUAUGCGGCAGGUGCCCAGCUUUCCAUGUUUCUUGUAAUCAUAACAGUAGCUUUACUCAACUGUUGUGGUGGAAAUGGAGCUGGUGCUUGUAUAGAGUACGAGAAACAAGCUCUUUUGACCUUCAAGAAAGACUUGAUAGAUCCCUCGAAUCGACUUUCGUCAUGGACUGCUGCUGAUGCUGAUUGCUGCAAAUGGGAAGCAGUUGCCUGUGAUAACAUCACCAACCAUGUUACGGAACUUAACCUUCAACAUCCCAAUGGAACCUCUCUUUGGGAUCAGUAUGGUUAUAAUUACUUUGAGAUGUUUGCCCUCAGAGGCAGACUAAAUCCUUCUUUGCUCAAUCUGAAACAACUCCGGUUCCUCGAUUUGAGCCUAAAUGACUUCGAAGGAGUCCCAAUCCCCAGUUUUAUAGGGUCCCUCAAAAGUCUUGAGUAUCUCAAUUUAUCAUAUACAGGAUUCUCUGGAAUCAUACCACCUCAGCUGGGAAAUCUGUCAAAUUUACGCACUCUGAGCGUGGAAGGAGAAUAUAUUCAGGAUGACAAUCUGCAGUGGCUGGCUGGUCUUUCCAAUCUUGAGCACCUAGUUAUGGCUUCUGUGAAUCUCAGCAGAGCGUCUAAUUGGGCACAGGUGAUUAAUACGAUUCCUUCAUUGGUAGAGGUACACUUGUCUCACUGUCAACUUGACCAUAUUUCUCCCCUGAUGGAAACCAAUCUUUCUUCGCUUACUGUCCUUGAUCUUUCACUCAAUGAAAUAUCCUUCAUGCCCAGAUGGAUAUUUAGUCUUGGUACGCUGGUCUCCCUUGAUUUGGGUCAGAACAAUUGUCAAGUUCCAUGGCCAGAAGGUCCCUGGAACUUGACUUCCCUCCAAGUUUUGAAUUUGAAUCAGAACCAACUAGGUGGUUCAUUACCGCGAGAGCUUUUAUAUCUGAAUAAGCUCGUUUCCCUUGAUCUAUCCAAGAACGAGAUCAAUGAUCUAAUGCCAACUGCUAGUAGCAACCUGACAAACCUUCUACAUCUUGACAUUUCAGACAACCAGCUGAAUUCCAGCAUACCUAACUGGUUGUACAAGUCCAAACACAUCAAAUUACUGAAUCUUGCGCGCAACUGGCUGCAAGGUGUAAUCUUGGAAGACAUAGCAAACCUGAGCUCCAUAGUCGAGUUGGACUUGACUGCCAAUCAACUUACCGGAACAAUACCCAAGCAAAUAGGAAACCCUUGCGACAUAAGAUUCAUAAGUAUGUCAGAUAACAAACUCGAGGGACGAGUAUCAGAUUUGAUUGAUGGUAUGUCGGGAUGUUUUUCUUAUGCUCUCAAGAUCUUGUAUCUAGAAAAUAAUCAGCUCUCUGGCCAGUUAACUGAUAAUCUAGGACAAUUUCAAAAUCUUGAGCAGCUUAACCUUGGUUCCAACUCCAUAUCUGGUCCAAUCCCUUCCAACAUAGGGUUGUUGUCCUCCUUGGAAACAUUGCUUUUGGGAGAUAACAAACUAAAUGGAACCCUCCCUGCUUCUCUCGGAAAACUUUCCAAGUUAAAAGAGCUCGACAUUUCUCGCAAUAUGAUGGAAGGCAUUGUGACUCAGAGUCAACUUGAGAAUCUAACCAACAUAAGGUCUAUGAAGGCACCUGGAAAUUCCUUGACAUUAGAAGUAGAUUCCCGUUGGGUUUCUCCAGCCCAAUUUCAGCAUCUUGAUUUGAGUUCAUGGAAAUUAGGUCCUCAGUUUCCCAAUUGGCUCCGUUUACAAAAGAAGAUAUAUCAUCUGGAUUUGUCCUUUACCGGAAUCUCAGGUGCUAUUCCUUCGUGGCUUUGGAACUUGAGUGCAGAAUUUGACUACUUGGAUCUUUCCCAUAACCAGUUAAGUGGUAGUAUUUCAGAUAUUUGCUGCAUAAACGAAGUGCAUUUGAGCUCAAACCAAUUCAGUGGCCAAUUACCUCAUACAACUGCACAUCGUGUGUUUACUCUAGACCUUUCCAAUAAUUCAUUUUCUGGAGGUCUUUCUCAUUUCUUGUGUCGUGGAGCCGGAGUGAAUAAAGAACGAGGCAUACAGGUUCUUGAUCUUGGAGAAAAUCUUCUUUCAGGAGCAAUUCCUGAUUGUUGGAUGAAUUUGCCAAUGCUAGUCUUCAUUAGUUUGUCAAACAAUAAUCUAAGUGGAAGUAUCCCAAUGUCCAUCGGAUAUUUGACUUCUCUGCUCUCUUUGCACUUGCGCAACAACAGUCUCUCUGGUGAUAUACCUUCUUCCCUGGAGAAUUGUACAGAACUAAUUACAAUUGACGUUGCAGGAAACAAAUUAGGGGGGAAGUUACCAACUUGGCUGGGUCCAAGUCUUUCCAAAUUGAGGAUUCUCAUCCUACGCUCUAACAAGUUUCACGGUGAACUUGCUCCAGGACUCUGCCACCUGUCUUCUCUGCGAGUCUUAGACGUCUCCAACAACGAUUUUGUGGGUGUGAUUCCCAGUUGUUUCAACAACUUUACCUCGAUGGCAACCGAAGGGAAUGUUUCCUUACGCUAUAAUGAGAUAACUUACUACUAUGACGGCUACCCCGAGAGAGCACAGUUGGCAACCAAACGAAAUGAAUACGAUUAUCAUGGCACGGUACUUUAUCUUAUCUGCAGCAUUGACCUCGCAAGCAACAAUUUUUCUGGAAAGAUCCCUGAUGAGCUAAUCAAUCUUUUGGGGUUGAUAUCUUUGAAUUUGUCCGGCAAUCAACUGAACGGAAUGAUUCCACGGAACAUCGGCCAAAUGGGACAACUGGAAUCUCUUGAUCUAUCAAGAAAUCAUCUUUCUGGGUCAAUUCCUUCUAGCAUUUCAAAACUAUCCUCCUUGGGUUUCUUGAAUUUGUCCAACAAUAACUUGUCAGGGGAAAUUCCAUCAAGCACCCAAAUGCAAACUUUCGGUGCUUCUAGCUUUGCUGGAAACCAACUUUGCGGGCGUCCCCUGACAGUGAAUUGUAGUAGCAGCAGCACUGAUGGUGUUACUGCAAUCACUGAAGAAAGUGCUGAAGCUGUGGCGGACUAUUGGCUUUAUGUUUUCAUUGGCUUGGGGUUUGUGGUCGGAUUUUGGGGUGUCUGUUUUACUUUAAUACUGAAGAGGUCAUGGAGAUACGCAUACUUUCAGUUUGUGGAUGAAGCUUGGGACUGGCUACAGCUACAGGCAUGCCAUUUGUCCGCUAAAUUCAUGCUAAAGGGGUGAGGAGCAGGUGUCUUGGAUUCUAUUUCUUUAAAGUUAUUCAUCAUGUCUUGUGUUCUUGUGAUUCUAAUAUGUUAUCCCUUCCCCUCACGAAACUUAUUUGAAUAACGAGUAUUGCUCUGUCCGACUCUCCAUAGUUAGCAUAUUAAAUUAAGUUCAUAAUUUUAUAAGUUUCUGUAUCUGUAUUUAGCAGUUUUUUUUAAGUCAAAAUUUUGUUUAAUUUCUUAUUAAUUAGUUUGAGUAUCCUAUUAGAUUAUUUAUUGUCAUAGUAUUUUUCUUGUUUAUCAAGUCAUGUUGUCUAUUAUAAAUUUAUAAGUAGAGAGUCUUAUUAAUAUAUUUAGUUGACAAAAAAAAAAAAAGAUACUAUUGUUAUUAUUGUGAUUAAUGAUAUAUUAUUAAUUUUAUUUCUCUUCUCCCACACAUAUAUUUUUUUGUGUAUAAAUUAGUCUCUUCCAUAUAUUUUCAGCACUAAAUUAAUCUCCCCACCCUUCUAAUUUUCAUGUUAUAAGUAAAGCAAUUGCGAGUGAGGGUUGCAGUAGUUUCGGAUCCAAAAGUCCAUCUUUAGAGUUUCUGGAUGGAGUUAGCUUCUUUUGUCCAUUGCCAAUAACUUCAAAUGUUCUUUACAAUCUUCUUAAUUUUGUGAAUAUAUAUAUAUAUGUAUACACACCGCAGUUUUUUUUAUAAUCAAUUUACAAAACUGUUUCCCUUAAUUUUUAUACUAUGUAAAUGCUUUGCUGCUAUAUUCCUGCUCUUAUUGUUCUGUCAUCUAUUGACAGGUGUCGAGCCUGUGCAAUAAUAAGUACGUAUUAAUAUAUAUAUAUAUAUAUAAACUUUUGUAUAUAACGGUGAGUAGGAUCGAAUUCAUAAGAGUUAGGGAUAAUUCAUUUCUUCUAGAGUCCAGAGUACGAGGAUUUUUAUAAAAAUGGAAAUAAUUAAAUAACUCAAAUAAAAAGGCCUACAUGACAAUUUAUUAAAAUUGAAUUGAUAAUAAAUAAACUUUAGCCAAAAAAAAUAACUUCAGAAAUGGUUCAUUCAAUUAAUUACUGAUGCAAUAAUAAUUUCAUUUACUCAUUGAUAAACAAAUCAUCCGCUUUGUGGAUGAAGCUUGGUACAGGUUACAGGAACACUUUUUCUCUAUUAGAUUCAUAUUAAAAUAGCAGCAGUAAUAAUGGCGUUACAAUAAUCAAAGAAGAAAGUGCUGGAGCUGUGGUGGAUUAUGGCCCUUAUGGGCUUUAUAUUUCCGCCGGUGUGGGGUUUGUGGUCGGCUUAUAUGAACAAGAUCAGAACUGAAGAAUCCAUUAGACCUGGUGCGAAGUGGAUUAAAUGGAAAGUAAAUGUUAAUGAGAACCCACAAGUGAUGACUAGAGUCAAUACUUUUUGAUUUGAGUGGCAAUACUUUUGAAGUCCCAUUCCUAAAGGUUUCCUGGAACUUGACUUGGAUUUGUUGUUUAACAGCUUAAAGGAUGCAUUACCCUAGAGAGCUGUAGCACCCAAUCUUUCCGAUUCGGGGGUUUGAUAUAAAUUUAAUUAGUCUUGUUUGAAUUAAAUUAAAUUAUGAAACUCUAUGUUUUGGACUAAUUGAAUUGGGCUGGUAUUAAAUGAAUUGUUAAAUUAAAUUAAAUUUAUAAUGUUCAUGUAAGCUUAAGUGGACUAAUUGAAUGCACUAUCUAAACCUACCUGCUACUAGAGCUCAAGCUAGAUGGAUUUUUAGACUUACAAGCCACCCAAAUGCAAGAAUGCUCCGAAGAAUUUUCUUGAAGACUAAACACAAUUUCAGUUGUGUUUGGAUUGCAUUUUCCAUGGAUUUUUCAUUGAAAAAUUACUGUAGCGAUUUGAUGUAUGUGAGGUAAAAAGGUAAUAGGAAAAUGUGUUCACGAAAAACAAGACCAUUUUUCGAUGGAAAAUAGCUAUCCAAACGUUAACGUUUCUCAAGAGUUUUUCCCCUCAAAUCAUGAUAUCACCCAUUUUCUACACACAAAUUAUAGGAAUCAUAAAAUCAUCUGUUUUGAUCGAAGAACAAGUCUUUUUGACCCUUCAAUUAAAGUAUUUUAAAGAGAAGAAUCAGGAUAUUGAUUGAGAUUAACUUUUUUUUAUUUAAGAAUUUUCAAAAAUUAUAAUCUUUUUAUUCUUUGAUUUAAUAUAUUUGAUAUUUGUACAAGCUAUCUUGUCUUUUUAUCUUAGGCAACGAAAGUUGUGCUACACACUCUAACUAAUCACAUUUCACUUGCUCUGGAGUCUGGAGUCUGGAAACCGGAAUCAAUCGACUAAGAAAGAAGCUGCGAAACAUGUUAGUCAAACUGAAGUUUAGUUGCUGACCGUACAUUGACCGUCCAAAUUGCUACGUUCAAAACUAAUAUAUAUUGUUUUUUAUAAAAGAAAAAAAAAAAAAGGUUAAACCUGUCUAGACAGAAUUAAGAAACAAGAAGGCAUGUUAUUCUCUCUUUCUCUAUCUCUCAUUCCCAGACAUUUCUGUCUAUCUUUCCCUAACUUGAAGUCAAGUUUGUAGUCGUAGAUGUUACUAAUUCAUCAGGCUAAACUAUUAUUAAUGUUACUCUUAUAGUUCCCAGCAGCAUACAUGUUUUCUCUAUCAGAUAAUGACAUUAAUUUACUCCUUGUUUACAACAUAAAUUUGAAGCUACAGUCACUUUUCAGAAGAAAUUGACAGAAAGUAAGGUCAGGGGCCAAAUAUAACAUUUACAUGCGACCAAGACCUGUACAUUGGUCCAUUCAAUCGAAAUGCUAUAAGCUGAAGGCAACUAUACGGCUCAUAUCCAUCAAGAAACAUGAGAAAACACACAAGUAAUAAUUUGCAGGGUUUCUUUCCCAGAAAAGCCAUUAACCUGCAGAUAAAGCAGGAAUUCAUGCGAUCUUAUUGUCUUUUAUGGAAAUCUUUGCAUUUUUUAUUUUUAUUUUUAUUUUUCCUAUCACCUCUCUAAGACCUUAACAACGGGUAGGUUACUCGUCAAGCAACACAAGAGAGUGAGGGAAACUUAAACAGAUUAUUCAGGAGGACUAAAGACAAAUUUUAUUUAACAGUAAAUAAAGAAAGAUUCAAGGGACAAACAGCUACUGAAAAGAUCAAACCACACUCAAAGUUGGAAAUGGACCAAAAAGGGUGUUACUAGCAUUUGAGAUGAGAUGAAUACACGGAUACUCACUUAUUCUGAAUCUUUUGAACCUGCAGUAUGCCAUCGAGGUAAGUUUCUUUUAUAUGAGCUAUCUUGGCUCUGUCCUUUUCUCCACAAUCUACACUCAACUGCGGGCAAUUGUCAAUCUU